rnacentral:lncRNA from 1 species
UUUGUUUUUUUUCUUCCUUAUUUUUCAACCGUAAAAAUUUAAGAAAUGGCCAAAAAGAAAAUUUGAUAUUCCCUUAUUUUCAUAUAAUAAAAUAUUUGUGAAAGACGUAAUUGGAUGGAAUUCAUGUUUGUCAAUUGUCAAUUGCGAUUUGUCUACUUUCACCAUAGUUUCUACAGUUAGUUUUAUAUCCUUCACAUAAAAUUUUUAGUUCAAACUUUAUAAGAUAUAUUGUAUUUUUAAAAUUAGAAUUUAUGUUGGAAUUUUUAAGAAAAUAUUGUUAGAAAAGAUAAUCUUAAAUUUUGAAAUAAUUAAUUUUUAUGAAUUUGUAGAAUAAGGAGGAAUGAUACUAUUUUUUUUAAAAAAUUGAGUUUAAAUUUUGUACAUAACCAAAGUUGGAAAAUAAAUAUUUAAAGGUUAGAUAUAAGGGUUAAAUUUAAGUUAGUUAGUAUUGUAUAGGUAUACCCUUUUGAUUUUAUUGAUUUUAAAAAAUAUAUAUAUUUAAUAUAUAAAAUAUUAAUUAUAUCAAAUGAAUUAAAUUAAAUAAUUUUAACUAUAAAAAAUAAUAAUUGAUUUUAUAAAAUCUACAUAUUAAAUAACAAAUUUAUCUACAACUUAUUUUUAAAAAAUCUAUAAUAAAAUAAUCUCAUACUCAAUUUGAAAGUUUAAUAAAAAUUUACACAAAAAGUCGUGUUUCUGGAGCAGUUAAAAAUUGUCUCUUUUUUUCCUUUAGUUUGUUUGUUCUAUAAAUUUUUUAUUUAUACUUUAUUAAUUUGGUUAAUAUUUUUUUAAAAGUUGAUAAAAAAUAAAAAAAAUGAUCUAUUUUUCAAACAUUAUUCAUACAUGGACUGAUGCACAAUGUUCUAACUAAUGCAAUUAGAAUUGAACAGAAUGUGCCGGUGCAACCGGUAUGGACCGAAAUUUACACCGGUGCGGAAAAGAAAAGUGGUUGUGCAGAUUUAUUAUUGGAAUAGUGCAACUAACUGAUACAACCGAAAUCGACUACAUUGGUUAAAUCAGUAUAUGAGACUUGGCAACAACUAUCACAUUGAAAUCUGAAUUUUUUUUUCAACUUAGUCCUUAAAGUUGGUAAUUAUUUCCAUAUUGGGGUAGUAACUAGUAAAUGUUCUCAUAUUGAGACUUGACUUUUUUUUAUAGUUUUUGAACUUGACAAUUAUUCUUACAUUGGAAUCUGAACAUUAGGGACUAAUUUAGAUAAAAGAAAAUUCAAGCCGUUAUGUGAAAAUAAUUAUCAAAUUUAGAGAUAAUUUAGAUAAAAAAAAUUUAUACCUAAUGCCAAAUUUAGAGAAUUAACCCUAGAUUUAAUUUUAAAUUUAAUAUAAGUAUUCCGUCGACAUCUCACCAUUUAUAAAGUAAUACUAUCCAUCUCUGUCAGAGAAUCUUCAGAGGACAAAUUUGCAUUCACUCAAAUAGGUUGGGUUUUCCUUUUGGUUCAACACACUAAAAUAGGUUCUGCUGUAAGGUAGUUUAGUUCAUUUGCUGUUGCAGCUGGUACCGUCUAUUAUUUUUGGGUAAAUUCACUAAUUGGUCACCUGAUUUUUAGGGGAUUUCAUUUUGAUAACUAAAAUAAAGCAUUUUCUAAGGACGGUGACAAUAUUACAAGAAUUUAAUUUUAGAUGAUCAAAAUAAAAAGAAGGUGAUUAAUCGAGUAGUUUAUCCUUUAUUAAUAAAUAAUAAAGGUUUGAAUUUAAAAAUAUUAAAAUUUAUUAAAAUAAGCAUUUUCUAUUAUUAUCUUGAAUGUAGUUUAUCUAUACACAUAUGCAGCAUGUAUAAUAAUAAUUAAAAUUUUGAAAAAAAAAACAUAAAAGGUUGAAAUUUGUCUAAGUUUAUUGAAAAAAAAAACCAAAACAAGCCAAUUUUGAGUUCUACAGAAGUAUAAUUUUCCUUAAAUACCAUGGCUUUAGUAUCAUUAAUUUGCACUAUUUGUUUGUAUCCACGAAGUUCUAAAAAUCUUAGCGAAGUUAUAAUUUUUUAUUUAAUAAUUACAAAGUUUAAAAAUUUCUUGACUAUGUGUUUAGGAUAUUAUUCUUUAUGAUUUUGGGGUGGGAAGAAGAAAUUAAGGAAGCGUCUCUACUUUUUGCUCUCUAUCCCAUAAUUUAAUUUCUAAUCUUGUUUGCAUUAUCCACUUUUAAAUAGUUUAAUUAAAAUCAAAUGGAAUUGAAGAAAAGCUUGUAUAUGCAUGAAUGUAUAUAAUUACUUUUAUCUCUUUACAAAAUUUCUAGAAUGAUAAUUAAUUUUUUUUAAGAAUGAUAUUAAUAUAAAAACAAUAAAUGUAUAAUAAUAUAAGAAUAUGUGAAAAAACUUAAAUGUUCUUUUUUAUGGAAUAUAAACUUAUUCGUUUUGGUAUAAAAAAUGGUAAAAGUAUUAGGGAAACCCUUGUACUUAGACGCAGAUUAUAUUUCGACUUCUUUAUUGAAAAAUGAGUAAAUUAGUCUUCAUAUAUUUAGAAUGCAAAUUAGCCUUUGUUUCUUGUUAUGUUAAAUGACGACGUGGAACGUUAAUUUAAAUGGUUAAUUACUAAGUUGAUCCCUAAACUAUAGCAAAAACAUCAUUUUAUUUUUAAAAAUUUUUCUUAACAAUAAUUUUAAAAAAAUUUUAAAAAAUCUUACAAAUAAAUAUAAAUUAUUAAAAAUUAUGUUACCAUUUAUAAUUAGUAACGUACAAGUAGGAACUAUAGCACCUUUGACUAUUAAUGAUUUUGGUUAUUUUAUUUUGAAAGAGCGUAUAAUUUACUCUAUCAUGAAUGGUUUACUUAAAAUUUUUAUUUAGGAUAAUUAAAAUCUUGAUUUGUUUUUUUUUUUUGGAGUAAAAGACGACCACAAGGGUCAAAUAAAAUUUUGAUUUGGUUAUUAUACAGUUUAUGUUUUGAAUUUCAUUUCGAUUCCCUUAUUAGAAAAUAAAUAAAUUAAUUUAUGUAGGUUAAAUGAUGUAGCAAAACAAUCCUACUUUGCUAUUAAAUGUUUUUUAAUAUAUAUAUAUUUGGUGGAUUCCAUUUUUAUACUUUUAAGAGUAUGGGUAUAGAGAUUUCCCAAAUGGAGAAGAUUGUGGGGUUGGUUAGUGAUGAAUGAUUAAAUAAUUUUAUUGAUGAAGUAGUCAUCCGCAUAUAGCCAUUCUUAAUUAGUUGUAAUCAUUGAUUCCUUUGUUGAUUAGCUCAUUGUAUUAAACUCUUUUGCACUCACCUACAAUUAUACUAUUAUAUAAGAAAUUCACUAUAGGAAACUGAAAAAGCAUAGGAGAAAAAGCCAAACAAAAAAAGUGAAUAAAAAGUGGCACUCUCAAAAGAAAAGCUAAAUCCACUAAAAUUAAAUUUAAAUGAGUGGAGGAAAAUGUAGAUGUCUUUUAUGGUGUUUGAUUGUUUUCAUGUUCUUUAUUUGAUACAUAAUUAUUAAUUAAAUUAGAAGGAGGCCUUGUCUUUGGCCUUGUCCUCGACUAAAACAAUGUUAUAAAUUUAUUAUUACUAAAUUUUAUUAAUAUAUUUACAUCGAAUAAAUUAUCCGUUUAAUAUGAUAUAUGAAAUAAAUUAUCCGUUUAAUAUGAUAUAUGAAUGGUGAUAAUUUAUUUACAUUAAAAUUCAGAUUACAUUUUAUUUUCUCUACUCUUAAUCUUUAUAUAUUAAAUAAAUUAAUUUACUUUUUAAAUCUAUCAUUUUUAUCCAAUUUUCUGAAUAAUGGAAAUAAUAUAUCCUAAUACAAAUUCCUCGUUAACACAUUUACCAAUUUUAAAAAUUUUGGAUUUCAGUGUAAGAUGACAAUUAUGCAUAGUUCAUUAAUUAUAUCUAUGGUUUUAACUAUAUAUAAACAAAAUGAUAAUACUAAAUCUAGAGCAAUCAGUUCAAGCCCAAUCGCCAUAUAGAUCUCUUACGCGUUAAUAGCCAUUUGCCGUGCCCAUCGAGUUCUGAAAAAAAAAAAAACCAGUGUUUUCUUUUUUGUUCUUAAUUAAUAAUAUUUUCUGUUGGUUCAAGUUUCCAAAUUCCAAUACAUUGGAUGCAGCUGAAUCUACGGCCAGUCUCCAUGAUUCAUGAUAACAAAAGGUAAUCAUGCAUGUAAAUACGUAGCACCCACCGAUUAAUCUCUUGUGCUUAAAAAAUAAACCUCUUUUUCUUCUACGACUUGAUACAACUAAUUUCCUUCAGUGCUUUUCUUACAAAGACGGACAGGGACAGAACACCGACCAUCACUUCAUGACUCAUCUUCCUUAAUUUGCUAGCUGUAGUGAUUGAUUUUGAUUUGUGAUGUGUUUUUCUCCUCUCAUACUCACAACUCACGUGCUUUGAAUCUAACAAACCAGCCAAACAAUCGCCUCUUAUCACUGACUUAUUAUCACGUCAAUCUUUUUAUCUGAUUAUUUGACAAACAAUGUACAUAAUAUUUUUUUACAGGUUUAUAUUUUGAUCUUAAGAUAAUUGAUAUACAACUUGUUUGUCUACACCCUCAAAACUCUAUAUAUCAUCGACAGCUCUGAGUCAUAUUAUAUAUAUAUAUAUGCACUUACUCAACUUGCUCCUUCAGCCCUCUGUAUACGUCGUGUAAGUCCUACUCUCAUCAGCACGCUGUAUACUUCAUUCCUCUCAAUAAUUAUUAAGACAGCUGAAGCUUUUAUUUUUAUUUUUUUUAAGUUGCAGAGGAAGGAGGGUAUGUACGAAGCAUGGUUUUGCAAGACCAAGAUGUUUCCACUUCAUUCUUUUCAGCCAGUGAGUAACAAAACACAUGCACUUGUAUAACCUCUAUGAAUACAAACAUACAUACAGUACAACAGAAAAUGAUCAAAAUUAAAAAUCGCCAUAUUACACCAUGCAUGGUGUUCAUGACUUGGAUUACUGAUAUACCAAUACCUAUAUAUAUGCAUAAUUAAUGGCUCUCUACACCUUGUUGGACCUAAUUCAUGGCUCAUAUUUUUCUAUUAUUAUUGUAUGACAGACUUGAAGUUUCUUCAGUUCCAAGUGACAUGGAUGCAGCUAAUAUCACCGUGUUUCUGGGAGGAAGUCUGCAUAAUUCUGCAACUUGGCUUCGUUGGAAUCAUAUUGCUCCCUUUAGUUCAAAAGAUUGUGAGCAAAACCAGCAGGAAUAUUGCAGCUCAAGCUUCAAAAGAUUACCCCAUCGUUGCAAAAGUCAGUCUUUCUUACAGAGCCAGCAUUGUCUGUUCUAGUUUAAUGCUAUGCAUUCAUGUCCUAAAGCUACUGAUGCUGCUAUAUAGUAUGAAUGACACUCGUUGCAACUCCAAACUUGAAGCUUAUUCUUCAGAGAUUGUGCCAGUGAUUUCAUGGGCAGUAACAAUAAUGGUAGUGUGCUUGGUUCCUAAAAGAAAGCACAUUAGAUUUCUUUGGAUUCUAAGAACAUGGUGGGCUUUCAGCUUCUUUUUUUCCAUUAUCUCCACAGUUCUUGAUACCUACUUAAAAACAGAAGAGCAUGGCUAUCUUAAAAUGAUAGAUUAUGCAAACUUUAUCAGUCUCCUUCCAUCCUUUAUCUUGCUGAUUAUAUCAAUCAGAGGGAAGACAGGUUUAAUCUUUAUUGAUUCCCAUAACAUUGCUGAGCCCCUUCUCAGUGGAAAAACUGAUAAAGAUUCGAACAAGAAAAGGGGAUCUCCAUAUGGGAAAGCAACUCUUUUUCAACUCAUUACCUUCUCUUGGCUCAACCAAUUGUUUUCUGUGGGGAUCAAGAAAACCUUAGAAGAAGAUGAUAUCCCUGAUGUUGAUGUCAAGGACUCUGCAGAAUUUUCUUCCUUUGCCUUUGACCAGAAUCUAAAACAAGUUAGAGAGAAGGAUGGUUCGACAAAUCCAUCUAUAUACAAAGCAAUAUUUCUGUUCAUCAGGAAAAAAGCAGCAAUUAAUGCAAUGUUUGCAGUGAUAAGUGCAGGAGCAUCAUAUGUUGGUCCAUAUCUGAUUGAUGACUUUGUGAACUUCCUAGCUGAGAAGAAAACCAGGGACAUAAAAAGUGGAUACGUUCUUGCACUAGCCUUUCUAGGUGCCAAGAUGGUUGAGACAAUAGCACAAAGGCAAUGGAUCUUUGGGGCCCGUCAGUUAGGCCUUCGGCUUAGAGCUUCUCUAAUAUCUUGCAUAUAUAAGAAGGGACUAGUUUUGUCCAGUCCUUCUCGGCAAAGCCACACUAGUGGAGAGAUCAUCAACUAUAUGAGUGUAGAUAUCCAAAGAUUCACAGAUUUCAUUUGGUACUUAAACAUUAUAUGGAUGUUGCCUAUACAAAUCUCAUUAGCCAUCUACAUUUUGCACACAAGUCUAGGUUUGGGGUCUUUAGCAGCAUUAGCUGCAACUUUAAUUGUCAUGUCUUGUAAUAUACCAAUAACAAGAAUCCAGAAAAGAUACCAAUCUAAGAUCAUGGAUGCAAAGGAUGACAGGAUGAAGGCUACUUCAGAAGUUCUUAGAAGCAUGAAGACCAUAAAACUUCAAGCAUGGGACAGUCAGUUCCUUCACAAGCUAGAGAGCUUGAGAAAGGUAGAGUAUAAGUGGCUAUGGAAAUCACUGAGAUUGGCAGCAACUUCAGCUUUUAUUUUCUGGGGAUCACCGACGUUUAUCUCUGUGGUGACUUUUGGGGCAUGUAUGCUAAUGGGGAUUCAGCUCACAGCUGGUAGAGUCUUGUCUGCACUGGCUACCUUCCGCAUGUUACAAGACCCUAUAUUCAAUUUACCUGAUCUACUCUCAGUUAUAGCACAGGCUAAAGUUUCAGCAGAUAGAGUUGCUUCCUAUCUCCAGGAAGAGGAAAUACAGAAGGAGGCUGUUGAGCAUGUUCCCAGAGAUCAAACAAGUUUUGAUGUUGAAGUUGACAACGGAAAAUUCAGCUGGGACCCCGAAUCAACUAAUCCGACCCUCAAUGGGGUGCAACUAAGAGUGAAGAGAGGGAUGAAGGUGGCAAUAUGUGGAGCUGUGGGAUCAGGCAAGUCUAGCUUGCUUUCAUGUAUUCUUGGAGAAAUAGAGAAGUCGUCAGGUACCGUAAAAGUUAGUGGCACAAAGGCUUAUGUUCCUCAGUCGCCAUGGAUAUUGACUGGGAAUAUUAGGGAGAACAUUUUAUUUGGGAAUCCUUAUGACAAUAACAAAUAUGACAGAACAGUGAAAGCAUGUGCUUUGACAAAGGACUUUGAGCUAUUUGCUUGUGGUGAUUUAACGGAGAUUGGAGAAAGAGGGAUCAAUAUGAGUGGAGGACAAAAGCAAAGGAUACAAAUUGCUCGUGCAGUCUACCAGGAUGCUGACAUAUAUCUACUUGACGAUCCAUUCAGUGCUGUGGAUGCUCAUACGGGCACACAGCUGUUUGAGGUAAAGAUAAGUACAUGUCCUGAGAAUAAUAGGUUUUUCUCAUGGAUCAUGGACUAUGACUACCAUUUUGAACCAUUAAGAAACUUUAAUUUAAAGACCUGUUAUUGUUUAACUACACUUUGCAGGACUGUUUGAUGGGAAUUCUCAAAGACAAGACUGUACUUUAUGUUACACACCAAGUUGAGUUUCUGCCUGCAGCCGACAUCAUUCUGGUAAGCAAGUUAAAUCAAAUUUCAGAUUCAUAGCAAAAGACAAGACUGUACUUUAUGUUGCCUGACAUCUAUCUUGAUUCUCAACAGGUGAUGCAAAAUGGAAGAAUUGCACAAGCAGGCACAUUCGAUGAACUUCUGAAACAGAACAUAGGAUUUGGAAAUUUAGUUGGUGCACAUAAGAAAGCACUUGAAUCUGUUGUGACAGUUGAAAAUUCCAGUAAAACAUGUCAAGAUCUGGGAAGUGACGGUGAAUCCGACACAGAUUUGACUUCUAAUGCCCAACAGCUACAACAAAAGCAUGGCUCGGAUCGUCUCCACCCUCAAGAGAUAACAGAAAAUGGAGGAAAGCUAGUGCAAGAUGAAGAAAGAGAGAAGGGAAGCAUAGGGAAAGAAGUUUACUGGUCUUAUAUAACAACUGUAAAGGGUGGAUUCUUGAUUCCAAUUAUACUUUUGGCACAGUCAUCAUUCCAAGUAUUACAGAUUGCAAGUAACUACUGGAUGGCAUGGGCUUCACCUCCUACAAGUGAAACAGAACCUACAUUGGGGAUGAAGUUUGUAUUACUCGUUUAUUCGCUACUUGCUGUUGGAAGUUCACUUUGUGUGUUAGUGCGAGCUAUGCUUGUGGCAGUAACAGGACUUUGGACGGCACAAACACUCUUCAUUAACAUGUUGCACAGUGUACUCCGUGCUCCAAUGGCAUUUUUUGAUUCAACCCCAGCUGGAAGAAUCUUAAAUAGGGUGAGUUGCUCAAUAGCACAGAUAAAUCUUUUUUUAUGUGAUUGCAUAGUCUUAAAGUUGUUUUAUUUUCAGGCAUCUACCGACCAAAGUGUGCUAGACUUGGAAAUGGCAUCGAGAUUAGGAUGGUGUGCUUUCUCAAUAAUACAGAUUCUCGGAACCAUUGCAGUGAUGUCACAGGUAGCAUGGGAAGUGUUCGUCAUCUUCAUUCCCGUGACUGCAAUUUGCUUAUGGUACCAAGUAAGUGAAAGUUCACAUUUAUUACUAAGUUAUAUAGAGAUGUUUAAAUAGCUAUACCAUGCCCAAUGAAAAACCAAGUAUGACUUAAUAUAAUUGUUUCAGCAAUAUUACAUACCAACAGCAAGAGAACUGGCACGCUUAGCAGGAAUACAAAGAGCUCCUAUUCUCCACCACUUUGCAGAAUCACUUGCUGGUGCAGCAGCAAUCCGAGCAUUUGAUCAAGAAAAUCGUUUCAUUCAUGCAAAUCUUGGUCUCAUUGACAACCAUUCAAGGCCCUGGUUUCAUAAUGUCUCAGCAAUGGAAUGGCUUUCUUUCAGACUAAAUCUACUGUCCAAUUUUGUAUUUGCUUUCUCAUUGGUCGUGCUGGUGUCGCUUCCUGAUGGAAUCAUUAAUCCAAGUGAGUACAAUCCAAUAUGGUAUUUUCAGAAGAGGAAAUUUUUUUUUUUUAUCAAUGACCACUGAUCGAAAAACGAAAAACUUUUCUAACAGGCAUUGCAGGACUGGCGGUUACAUAUGGAAUAAAUUUAAAUGUUCAGCAAGCUUCAGUAAUAUGGAACAUAUGCAAUGCAGAAAACAAGAUGAUCUCAGUAGAAAGAAUACUUCAGUACUCAAACUUAGCUAGUGAAUCAGCACUUGAGAUUGAAGAGUGUAGACCCCAUAAUAACUGGCCUGAAGUUGGAACUAUUUGCUUUAGAAACUUGGAGGUAAGGAAUGUUAACAACCAUCCAUAAUGUUCCAAACAUUAUAUUGUAAAGCUUGAGAUGCAUUUAGAUGCAUUUACUAACAUUUUGACUGCCAUACAGAUCCGUUAUGCUGAGCAUCUUCCAUCUGUCCUAAAAAAUAUUAGCUGCACAUUUCCAGGAAGAAAAAAAAUUGGUGUUGUGGGAAGGACAGGAAGUGGGAAAUCAACACUUAUACAGGCUAUUUUUAGGAUUGUUGAGCCUAGAGAAGGGAGCAUUAUAAUUGACAAUGUGGACAUUUGUAAGAUAGGCCUUCAUGACUUAAGAUCAAGACUUAGUAUUAUACCACAGGACCCUACAAUGUUUGAGGGAACCGUUCGAGGGAACCUUGAUCCUCUCGUGCAAUAUUCGGAUAAUGAAGUAUGGGAGGUAAUUGAAAUUCAUAAAACUUACCCUUAAACUGAAUAUAAUAGACAAAUAUGUAUAUAGUGAUUAGAGUGGCAUGCAUGUGAAAUUUUCAGGCUCUGGAUAAAUGCCAACUUGGUGAGAUAGUGCGUGCAAAGGAAGAAAAGUUGGAUGCUACAGGUGAGGUUUAUAAACUUGGGGUAUUAAUUCAUAGAGUGGUUGUAUCUCAUUUGUUAAUGAAAGGUACUGAUAUUAGAAUGUGUUGAACAGUGAUUGAAAAUGGGGAAAACUGGAGUGUAGGCCAAAGGCAAUUAUUCUGUCUUGGAAGGGCAUUGUUAAAGAAAAGCAGCAUUCUUGUACUGGAUGAAGCAACAGCAUCAGUUGAUUCUGCAACUGAUGGAGUGAUACAGAAGAUUAUUGAUCAAGAGUUCAAAGAUCGGACAGUUGUGACAAUAGCACACAGAAUUCACACUGUUAUAGACAGUGAUCUUAUUUUGGUUCUAAGUGAUGGUAAGACAAUGUAGAUGCUUACAUGCACGCACACACACACACACACACACACACUCUUUAGAAUUGUUGAAAAACAAAUUGAACCAUUUUUUGUUAACAGGAAGAGUUGCAGAGUUUGAGUCACCUGCGAAACUACUAGAACGAGAGGAUUCAUUAUUCUCUAAGCUUAUAAGGGAGUACUCCAUGCGGUCUAAGACCUUUCAACAGCUUAAAAAAUCUGCUUAAGUAGAACCUGCAGCAAGCAAAAUAAAGGAGAGAGUGGUGGAAUCUCCAGAAAGUAGUAGUAUGCUAAUAACUUGUCCAGGAUGUAGUAGCCCCAUUGAGUCAUGAAUUAUUAUUAUGCUAAAAAUCUUGAUAACCUAUGUAGCAUACCAUCUGUGAGACACUCAAAUACUAUUAUUGUUUCUAUUUCUACUAUUUGUUAAUGGAGAAAAAGAAGAUUCGUCUAAAGCCAGGAUUACAAACUUUUUCUAAAACAACGUAUUGUGAAAUAAUUUAAAUUUUAAUUAUCAAGUUAAACCUUGAUUAAAUUUAGAGUGAUAAAAAACUUAAUAACUUAUAACAUGAUUUAAUAUUAGUAUUUUUUUUUCGAUACCAAAUCACAAGAUAAAAACCAUACAUAAAAAAAUCUCAGUUCAAAACUUAUUAUUCCGAGCAUAAGUUAAAGCUUUCAUCGCCAUAGAUUUAGCUAGUUUACUCCCUUCAUGCUUCUGAUCUGAACUGUGUAUCUGCUGAAAUUGAGUCUUCGUGGCAUUAAUAUCAUGCAUUAGGAGCUUUAGCUUCCAGUGGAUUGUUACUUCUUCACUGCUUAAUAUGCGCCUUAUUGAUCUGUCUCUGCUCCAUGUAGUACAUGAAGUGAUGCUUAUAUCUAGCAGCUUCACAAAUGAUAAUCUUGCAAUGAUUAGUUUGCUUGUUAAACGGUCUUCUGAUGAGAAGUUUACUGCCUGCAACCACAAAGUUUCAUUAGUAAUUGAUUUCAGAAUAAAAGCCACCAACCAUAUUUGCCCUCUGUUUCCAUUCCAACAUAAGCUGAUGAGCAGUUUGUUGAACGCCCAGAAAAUGGUUUUUUUUUUCUUUUCAAAUUAAUUUUGAGCUUAUAAUUUUACUUAAAACUCUUUCAUUUUCGGAUCAUGAUGGUAUACCUGAAGUUUGCAACAGCUGCUUUCAACACUAUUAAUUAUUUUGCGUUUACAAAAUAAAUAAUAGCAUAUUCUACAAAAAAUAAUUACUUUUAUUUAUUUUAAAUUAUGUUUUAAUAUUUUAUUACAAGGUGAUUACUUUACGGUUAACUUGUUUGCGUGACUAAAAUGUACAAGGCAGUCCUACGAGAGUAAAAUUAAAUCUGAGGCAAAGUGACUACUUUUCCAAACGUGAGACGAAAUUCAUCCUCUCUCUCACGUUUCUUUUCCUGGUUCUUUCGUCUCUUUUGCCCUUUCCUAAUCUUUUUUCCUCUCUUCUUUUUCUAUUCUGUUUCUCCUCUCUUCUCCUUUCAUAACAAACCAUAGCCGUCGCCGCCUCCACACUGUCCGGCGUGGUACCUCCGAUCAAAGGCCAGCGGUCCUCUCCUCUAUUCGAGAGACGUCCCAUUCUCAAUUCCGAGGCUCCCGCUGUUAAAUGGUUCAAAGAAUGGUAAGUUAAACAUCUUCUUUUCAGAAUUUUCAUUGCUUUUUUCGAAUUUAUUCCUUCGGUACUUUUUGCCACUGAUUAAUUUAUUUUUAAGUAAAUUUUUUCUUUGCUUGAUUAAUCUAUGAGCCUUCUUUUUGAAGUAAAAUAUGCUUAAUUUGCCUUAGUUCUAGCAUAAAUGCAGAUUGGAUUUUUGAACGAAUAUUUUGGCAUGGUUUUGUGCUCAACUUCUCAAUACCAGGGCCUUGUGUUGCUUUGUAUUAUACAUAAUGUCAAUGACCUGACCUAAUUUCUUCUAGGGUCCCUGAAGAUGUUGUCGCAACUGGCGGAAAGUGCAUGAUUUUGAAGUGGCUGAACGGUGAGUUAUUCUCUUUUUGCUAUGUAUUUCUUUUGUCUGAUGCAAAACUGGGAAACCUAGUCUUAAUCCCAAUAUAUUUGGGGUCUUUCUUUCCUUUUAUACUCACUGUAAUUGCUAUUCAUCUUCAUUUCAUUUUCGUAGGAAAAGUAUGAAUUGCCUAAACAAAAGCUUUACCGCCUGUGUGACCUUGAGAAUGUAAACAGAGGGAUUACCGCAAACUUCUUAACAUUAUGUAUUGUGAGGGAGUUUAGAGAAAAGCAGAGUUUUUUGCUUUUUAAAUGAUCUUGAAGUACUCGUAGUUUGGGGAAUUAAACAGUCUAUUUAUUUCGUGAUGGAAAUAUGCCCUAGUUCUUUUCACAAUGCCUUUUUUUUCUGUCCUUUUUUAAGAUUCCCUUCACUGUAUUUUCAUUACAUUCUAGGUCUAAAAGAUACCAUGCCUUGUGUUUUUGGUUUUAUAAAUUCAUUUUAACUAAAGACUGGGUUGUUUUCAGGCCCCAGGGAGUUGAUGUGGAAGGAUUAGCACUUUUUUUUUUGUCAUUUUCUUCUUUAUAGAUUUGCCCGGCCUAUCCUUCCUCAUCCAACUGUUUUGUUUAGGGAACACAUUAAAUAAAUUGAAGGAGAAGGAGAAAGAGCCUGAAGCACCAAAAGCUGAACCAGGGCCUACUACUGAAGUUCAUUUUCUUUGCAGCUACGAAGGCUGUGGAAAAACCUUUAUUGAUGCUGGUGCUCUGAGAAAGCUUUUGCACAUUCAUGGAGAGAGACAACAUGUUUGUCACUGGGAGGGUUGUGGGAAUGUAUCUUGUGUAGAUCUUCCUACUUUUGAUGCAACAAGGAAAGUUUUGGAUCUUCAACAAUUACUGGCACAUAAUGAAGCAGAUCUGAUUUAUUCUUUGCUUGGGAGUUGGGACUAUGAAGUGCUUGAGUUCACCUUGAACGUGCUUCAUUUGUGGUUGUUAUUUUGUUAUUUAUUUGCAGAUAAGUAUAGUGCUUCUUGCUGGUUAUUAAUGCGAUAUACUUUUUCUUAUACUGCAGGAAAUUUUUGAACAGUUCAAAACUGAACACACUUUCUUAUUCACAGUGGAGAAAGAUUUUAUUUUCCCACAUGAAGGUUGUGGUAAGGUGAUAAACCUAUCUCAUCUUCUAAUCUGUUUCCUUGUAGUUUAUAUGUCUGUUCUUUUAUCUGUUUUGGAUAUAUCUUCUAAAGUAACAAUGUCAUAAUCAAUUUCUUCUUCAUUUGUUGUCUUAGUUGAUUUCUCAGUGCCUUCUGGUUCUGAAUAACAUUUUUUCUUUUGAUUGUUUGUUUUGGGCUACCUUAAACCGGAUAUAAAAAUUAUCUUUGACCAAUGGUUUGAUAAUUAUUACCUCAUCCAAUUGCUGUUUGAUAAUUAUUGAAGCUAACAUUCUAAUUUAAUAUAGAUCAUGAAUCCAUCGCUAUGUUGGGUGAGAUUUCAUUUAUUUUUAUUAAAAAUGCAAUGCCCUUUUCAAGGUUAGUAAAUCAAUUUUCCUUUCAUUUUGAACAAAACCCGACAUGACUGUGCUAAUCUGAUAGGGAAGAAUAGUCAUAAGCUACAUAAUGUAAAAUCCUAUGCUUUUCUGAAGUAGGAUUUACUGCUUCCAUUAUGCUUUAUGCCCUUACCUUAGACAGGGAUUUGAUAGGGAAGAGUUGUAAUAGGCUACCCAAUGUAAAUUACUCAACGUUUAAAUAAUUUGUGACUGUACAAUGGCAGAUUCUGGGAAGUAGGAUUUAACAGUUCCAUUGAAGUAGACCUACUUCGCUUUAGGGCUUUUUAAGGCUGCUCCUUAAUAGGACUGGGAGGUCUUUGCCCCUUCAUGGUGUGUUUUGAAACAACAAUCUGAUAGGAUAGGUGUUCUACUUGCCUUAUGUAUGUCCUUUACCGUUCCGCAUGUGUCCUUUCUCUGGUCUCUUGUUUGUUUGCUGAGUUCACUGGUAGUGGUAUAAUUGGUCUUGGUGCUGCUUAUGUUGUAUUUGAGCCUCUUUUUUGGUCAGUAAAGAUCUCUUUUUCCUUUUAAAAAAAGAGAUGAAAGAGGCUUGGAUGUCCUAGAAUUAUAUCUUAACAUAAUAAGGCCAUUAAAAGAGACAUUAUCAUUUUUCAUUUAUGCUUUUCUUAGCUUUACUAGUCCUGUGAAUUUUUAAGCUUUUCUAGACUUGUAGAUUGAUGUAUUUCCUUAUUAAAAUAAGAUAGAUACUUCUUAGAUUAGAUUUAAGGAAGACAAGUUUUGAUUCUUCUAUUGCCCAUUUAAGUGUCUAGUUGAAUUUGUCUUCAGCGUCACUUUUACAUUGGUGAUUCAUUUUUGUUUUGCUGAAUAUGCAAAGCAUCUCUCGUAAAUUGGUUUCUGCAUCUGUGUUGGCUUGAUUUUAGUUCUAGGAACCUGCUGGGAGUUGUGACGCAUGUAGAGUUUAUCUGGUAGUUUAUCUAGUAAAUUGUUUUCUGCAUCUCUAGUCCAUUGAUGUGUGUCUGCUGCAUCUUUCUGGAUGGUAAUCACAUGUCUUUUUAAUUCCUUUUGAGUUGUGACAUUCUGUUUCUUAGUUUUCUGAAUAAAUCUAUACUUCAGUUUUAAAAAAUAAAUAUUAAUCUAAUUGGGAUACUUGUUAAUAUUGAUAUUAAUUGAAGAAUUGGUGAGUUUCAACUGGUUUGCGUAUUGAAAAGGUUUUUGAGGUUUUGGGUUUCAUGAUCAUAUGGUGGAGAUUGGCAUGAUUCAUGUAUGCAUAUAUGUUUUUUUUUCAUACUGCUAGUUGCUUGCUUUCAUCAGUAAGGAUUGGGUAGAUUUUCUUUAAAAUAGUUUUGAAUUGAGCUCAUCGAUGAACCUAGUUGGGAUUGUUUGUGUGCUGGUGUGUAUAUCGUUUGGAAAUGGCUUUUGAUUGAAAUAUUCAGGUAAUAUCUAAAUGCAUGGCAUGGUUGGAAUUAGGGAUGUAAGUGAACCGAAGAGGUUUUCUUAUAUUACAAAGUAGUUACGAAUGGUUAUUGUGUUGCAUUAGAAGAUGUUAACUAUGUGUUGUUGUUUUCUUCCUUAUAAAGAACAUAUUUGCCUUUUUGAUCUUACAGUGAGAGUUUUCAUUAGAAGUUUCGUAUUUGAAUUAUAUUACGAUUGGUUUAUUUUUAAAAAAAUCCAACUAAUGCUCGAGUGAUGUACUCAUCUUUUGUUUUGGUAUUGUUAAUUAUGUAGCAAAAGGUCUCUCUUUUGAGGACGUUGACCGUGUUUGAAGGGGGCUUCAAUUGGUCCUUCAAUUGACUUGGCCGUUCAUAUCGACCCAAGGUAUCUCUCUACAAUCUCUUGCUUUUGUUUGGAAUAACGUUGAUGUGUACUUUUUAUUUUAUUGUUGUUUCCUGUCUGCAUGGCCGUUAAUUUUUAUUUGGCACCCUCCAUAUAAAUUUCGCUGCAUGCAUCUGUAAGUGAAAUGUGUAUGUAUAUAUUCUUUUGGUAUAUUUGCAUGCAUCUGUAAGUGAAAUGUGCAUAUAUAUAUAUUAUUUUGAUAUAUUCUUUCUUUCUAUCUGUUUGUGUGUAAUAUAUAUUUUCUUUUGAUAUAUUCUUUCUUUCUUUCUUUCUAUCUGUAUGUGUGUAUUUGUGUAAAUAUUAUUUUGAUAUAAUUCUAUCUUCCAUAUAAAUUUACCUGCAUGCAUUUGUGAAAUGCUUGUAUAUGUAUUCUUUUGAUAUAUUCUUUCUAUAUGUGUGUAUAAGUUUUUGAAGAAAUAAAAUUUAAAUAAUUAUAAUUACCCUAAUAUGCACGCAAUACAUUUUAUUUAAAACAAAUGUUAUUGAUUCAAAACAUUAUUUUUCCCCUAUAAUGGAAAUAAUGUUAUCUUAAUUAUAAAAAUCAAAUUGGACUGAAAUUUAUUGUCUAAUUCUAUCUUAGAUUUUAAGUUAAUUACAUUAUACGUAAAAUAUUCCUCAUUCAUAAUAUGAUUUCCCUCUAAUACAUAAAUUAUAAUUGUGAAAAUGUAAGGAAGUUUUUAAAAUUAACGUAUAUAUAAUAUGAUAAAUAAUAUUUUUAAUAAUUUUACUUAAAAAGUCAAAUUGGCUGUUAAAUUAAUAAAUUUUAUAGAAUUCUGUAAUUUUAAUAAUAAUAAUUUUUUGAAGAAACAGAUUUUAAAUGUUAUUGAUUCAAAAUAUGACUUUUUCCAUAUAAUGAAAAUAAUGUUGUCUAAAUUAUAAAAGAUUAAUUAGGCUGAAAUUUAUUACCUAAUUCUAUCUUAAAUUUUAAGUUGAUUACAUUAUACAUGAAGCUUUUCUCAUUCAUAAUAUGAUUUCCUUUUAAUACAUGUAACAUGAAUGUGAGCUACAACAAAUAAGAAAAAUCAAGUUACAGUAUUGUGAACUAUUUCUUGUGGAUACAUGAGUGUGAAGCCUUUGAAUUAAACGGAAGAAGUACAACCUGGUGAAAAAGAUUUUAAUAUUAACUAUGAAUUAGCUUAAACAGUAGUAGAAGCAUUGAUGAAAAAAUCAAACGUAUUUUAAACUUGAAACUAGAAAGAUGAGUAACAAUUCUUGUAAAAAAUAAGUCCUCUUCAAAGUAAACGAUUUCUUUUUCCUUCUCUUUGCUAAAAAUAAGUAAUUGGAGUGGCUAAAAAUAAGAGUUUUUGUUGUUGAACCGGUUUUAAUGUUUUAGGGUUUAGUUUCAUCGAGCCCAAAUUGAAAAAAAAAACCCAACUCCAACCCUAAACUAACAACUCGGCCCAAUUUUAAAAGAUAAACAUCCAUCCCACUUAAUUAAAUUACCCAGCUCAAUCCAUGUACAAGAAAUGAAUUUUACAAAGAACAAAAAUCUAAUAAGCAUAAUUUUUUCCUGCAGCAGUAGGAGCAAAGCAAAAGCUUAUAGCUGCUCUUGCCUCUCAGUCAGCCCUGAGCUCCUCCCCGCCAACCACCGGCGAGGUGAGGUCUGGAUCUUUUUUUCAUUUAACAGCUGCCUUUUUGUUUAGCUACUAGCUUAUGUUUAGGACCUCUCCGGUUCAUGGGUGGUUAUAUUUGUUAAUGUUAAGUUAUUAAUUGAAAAGAAAGAUAAGAAAUGAGAAGUAUUGGUGAUUUUUCAAAAUUUUUCUGCUUUUCCCUAUUUUUCAGAAAUUUUCUUUUUUUAGGUUGGGCUCGUUGGACAGGGAACUUGUGAUCUGAUCAGUUCAACCACUGGUUCAAUUCUGAAAUUGACCACCAAACCAUUAUAAAGAAAGUUAAUUAUAAUAAUUUUUCAGAAAGAUCCUUUCUCCUUUUGGCAGGCAUUUUUUGUUGUGGAAUGUGCUUGGGAAAAAGAAAGAAGCAGAAGAAGAAUGGUUCACAGAUUUUCAACUAGAUUAUUGAAUGUUUGCAUAGCUUCACUAUGUAAGGCCCAUAACUUGGAGAAAGCUGAAUCAGUUAUUAUCGAUGGUAUAAGAUUGGGAGUGCUUCCUGACGUUGUAACUUACAAUACAUUGAUUGAUGCAUACUGUCAUUUUGGAAUUGAUGCUGGUUACGCCAUUCUUCAUCGAAUGAGAGAAGCUGGUGUUACCCCAGAUAUUAUUUCAUAUAAUUCUUUGAUAGCUGGUGCCACUAGGAAUCACCAAAUAUCUCGGUCUCGUGAUCUAUUUGACGAAAUGAUUGAAAGAGGCAUAGUCCCUGAUGUUUGGAGUUACAAUAUUUUGAUGCACGGCUUUUUCAAGUUAGGAAAACCAGAUGAGGCCCAUAGGGUUUUUAAGGAUAUUAUACUUGCUGAGCAUUCACCUUCUAUUGCUACUUUUAAUAUUAUGAUGAAUGGUCUUUGCAAGAAUGGGUAUACAAUGAAUGCUUUUAUGUUGUUUAGGAACUUACAGCGUCAUGGAUUUGUGCCAGAGUUAUUGACUUACAAUAUUCUUGUUAGUGGAUUAUGCAAGAUUGGUAGAUUAGGGUCAGCAAGGAGGGUUCUUAAAGAAAUAGUGGAAUCGGGCCAUGUUCCAAAUGCCAUAACAUACACUACUGUAUUGAAAUGCAUCUUUAGAAAGAAGAAGUUUGAAGAGGGAAUUGAGCUAUUGUUGGAAAUGAAGAGUAAAGGGUAUACAUUUGAUGGUUUUGCUUAUUGUACAGUUAUUGGUGCUCUAACUAAGAUAGGUAAGGUGAAACAGGCGACUGAAUUCAUGGUGGACAUGAUUGAAACUGGUAUCGAGCUUGAUAUAGUAUCUUAUAACACGCUAAUUAAUUUGUACUGUAAAACUGGUGAGUUGGAAGAAGCCUAUAAGUUGUUGGAUGAGAUAGAAAAGAAAGGGUUGGAGUGUGAUAAGUAUACACACACUAUAAUGAUUGAUGGAUUGUGCAAGGCAGGUAAGGUUGAGGUGGCCGCACAACAUUUGAAGUAUAUGAAUAUGAUGGGCUUUGAUUCAAACUUGGUUGCAUAUAACUGUUUGGUUGAUGGGUUGUGUAAAGUUGGUCAGAUCAAUGAUGCAAUCAAAGUCUAUAAAUCAAUGGAGGUAAGAGAUUCUUUUACCUACUCCUCUUUGGUGUACAACCUUUGCAGGGACAGGAGGUAUCAUUCUGCAGCCAAGAUCUUGCUAUCUUGUUUACGAAGUGGCAUGAAAAUUCUGAAGUCUGCUCAACGAGCUGUCUUGCUUGGUCUUCGCUAUUCUGGAUUUCCUAGAGAAGCAAAAAGGCUGAAGUCUAAGAUUCGCAUCGCUCGAAUAUUGAAUCAUUGAUAAUUUAGUCAAUAUUUUUGAUUUUAGUGUUAAAAGUUGGAAGAUUAUGUACUUCAGUUGAUUUACCAUCAAGGAUAAUUCAUUUUGGAUCAAGGUCCUGAUUGAAAUAAUGUGUUUCUUUUUGUUGCAAGUUCAAUGGUUCUCUUGGGGUGGUAAUCCUGUAGGCCAUGAUAGAGAUCAGCAACUCUGAAUCAAGCCGCAUCUACCGUGUAAUGCAUGCUCUGUAUCUGUAUUUCCUGCAUAUAAAACCAGAUGAAGAGAUAUGCACUGCUUGGAAACACUAGUCCAGCUUCAGGAGCUAUGUAGCAUGUUCACAAGAGAUUCAUCUAAGAAGCUUUUUACGUGAUUAGCUUCUGGAUUAUUUAACUUCAUUUUCUCCCUACCAAAAUUCAAUUCUUGAAGAAUUUCCCUAUUGGAAUCAUGUAAGGAAUCACUUCCUUUGAAAAGUGAAAUCUUUUAUUCUUAUUGUGACAUAACGAAGAAGUUAGGUGUUAUUUUAUACUCUUAAAGAUUUGUUGCAUGAGGGAACUGGCAUCGUUUUAGGGGGUGUGUAGACGAACCUUGUAUCUAGGGCUUAUUUCUUUAUUAUUCAUUUUUUUCCCUUUAUCUAUAUGUAUGUAAAUAAAACAAUUCUUGUGCUGUGGACAAUUUACAAUCUUGAUGGAAACAAAAAUGAAGGAAAAAAUGUUCGUUUAAAGAGCUUGAUGCAUAUUUUAAAGGAUUUACUAAACUAUACGUGUGGCUAUAUUCUUGUAAUUGAUUAUUUCAUUUUGUUAUUUACAAUGUGAUGAAAUUGUUUGUUUUUGGAAUCUCUUACCUUACCAUCUUUGGAAUUUGAAUAUUCUGGUUCUUUUUCAGUACUGUACCAUUCUACAAUUUAUACGUGUACUUUCUGAUAAGUCUAUACUUCUUUAUUUUAUAUUCUUCUAGUUUCUUUUUAAUCAGUCAUUCUUGCAACAAUUACUUUCUUUUGUUAUUAUUGGAACUUUGUCAUUUAACUUUAUUUUGUUGGGAAAUGCACUGCUUUUUUUGGCAACCUGUUGAUGGGAACCAACUGAUGGUCGAUGGGCGCAAGUGUGGAAAAUCAGAGGACCUUAACAGUUUCUAUGGACUGCCAUGCAAGAUAAGCUAUUAUCUAAUGUCAAGCAUUGUAAGAGAGGUAUGGUCAACAAUCCAAUUUGCAUUAUAUGCGGCAAUGGACAAAAGACUGUAAUUCUUGGUAUAGAGAAUUGUCAUAUUGCACAAUUUUUUUGGAAUAAAAUCGUGCCUCAGCGACAUCAGUCCAGGUUAUUUUCCUUAGCCUUAUCUGAAUGGCUAUUGGUUAAUUAUAUUGAUAUUGGAAAUGAUCUUGAAUGGAUUACAGUUUUUCGCUUAAUAUACUGGAACCUCUGGAAACAAAGAAAUAAUCUUCAAUGCUGGUUUUGUUAUAAUGCACAGUAUCGCCUGGGCGACACAUUUUUUGUCAAGGUCUCCAAGAUAAGAUCCCAAGGCCAACGGCUUUCUGCAUUUUUGUAAUUUUGGGGUUACAAUAUUUUGAUGCACAAGUCGUGGGAAUGAGUACCAUCAUGCAGGUUAAGGUUUGGGAAAUUUAUGAUGGUUUAGAUAUGGUAGAUGGGGCUUCCUAAGGUAGUUGUUGAGUGUACAGUAUCAAAAUGUGGCCGCAAUGCAACGUAAAGGUCGUAUUGUUACAAUCAUAAUGGAUUUUGGAACUACCAUGCUGCAAAAUACCCGCAUCAUCAUUGUGAUUCGGAAUCACGUUUGUAACGGGCGUUACCCUCAACAUAGUGUCUGCAAGAGGGGAAAAUAGCGCUGCAAAGCCCUUGUUUCUUCAGAUUUGCAAUGAAAUGUAGUUAAAACCGUUUAUCUUCAAUUUUGUUUAAUCAAACUUGUUAUAAAAGUAAUAAAAGGAGAUAAGAAGUUCAAAAGAAGAGUUAUUUGUUGUUUAAAUACAUAUAUGAAAUUGAUAUAAGUGAAUGGAAAUGGUUUAAAUGAAUUGAAACGUGGGAAUUGUCAUAUGUAUUAAAGUUGGGAUAAAGAAUCUGUAAUGUAUAUGUAUAUAUAAUGCUAAAGGCUAGAAUUAAGUAUGCGAAUGGUAUUGUUAGCUGAAAUGGUUGAAUUGAGGUAUUGAAUUGCUUAUUUAGGUGUUAUAAAUUGGUGCCAUUUGGACCUGUUGAAAUCAGACGAUCACAUCGCGAUGUCAAGCUCUCAACGUUGUGACACAUCACGAUGAGGACAAGUCAAGGAGAUAGGUCGCAAUCUGAUACAACGUCAACACGAUAUUUAUACAUUUUAUAAUUCGGUCUUUAUUCGAUUUCAAGUCUUCUUAUGAACUUUCGUGAGCUCAUAGAUUAUUUGGAUAUGAUUUUAAAAUAUAUUUUGAAUGCAUAAUAUACUUAUCAGCAUAUGUAAAUGGUUAUAUUGUGUUGUAAUGAUUGCCUCGACAACGAAUGUGACAUUUCAUAGUUUGGAUUUGACGAUUGAGUCGGGAAUGAAGUGUUACAAGACAUUCGAAACAUGAUAAUAGUAAUGGUGAUGAAUAUUAUGAUGAUGAUAUUGUUGGUAUAAAAGAGAUAUAAUACUAGUUGGAAGAAAUGAUAUAAUUUGUAGUAAAAUUUUGUAAGUUAUUUAAAAUAUUUUUAUCAUUUUUACAAAAUUUUAAUAUUUUUUUAGAAACUUUAUAAUUUGCAAGAUUUUAAAUUUUUCUUGGAUGAUAUCAUUGUGAUAUCAUAUUACAUGUUGCGAAAUUAUGAAUAACAUUAAGAUUUAAUCUAGGAAAAAAAAUCAUAGAUUAAAGUCGAAAAUAAUAUACUAAUUCAAUUGUACAUUAAAGCUCAAAAGUACAGUCUAAUGAAAUAGGAUCAAAUUAAAAUAUAUGAGUUUUAAUCUUAUUCUUUUUUACCACCUCUUACUCUUUAUAUCAUUUGAAGUGUCAUCCUCAAAAUAUUUUACCUUAAUCAUUCUUACGUAGAGUCUAUUUCGUGAUGGAUGAAUAAAGUAUAAUAUCCUAUAGGGAUAUUGUUACUGAUGGACAAAGAGGAAAGAAAGAAAUGUCAGAUCAUCACGAUAGAAUGUGUGGAGAGCUGCAGGGAAUAGGAUUAGAGGUUAAAGUAAAUGAUGGAAUGGCAUUCACCAUUUAAUCAAAUAAGUUAUUCUUGUACUCUUAAAUUUAUUACUUGGAUCAUUAAAAUUCUCGAUAAAAUUUAAAAAAAAUAUUAUCUCGAUCGGAGAAUAAUACAAACUUAGAUACAUUGAUGUUAGUGUAUUUUAAUCUAUGUAACCAACAUUACUUAAGUGGUAAAAUUUAAUCGAGGAUCAGAACAAAGAAUUACAGGAACUGUCUUGUUUCUACAUUAACAUCCCAAGUUUGGAGAAAAGAAAAAGAAAAAUGUAAAAUUGGAAUAUUUGCAUCCCAAGUACUAAAACUAGAACUAGAACUGCAACUAGAGCUAGUACCAUUCACUUCACUAAUUAGAACGCUCAGGCCGUUCAUUCGUUAGUUCAAGUCUUUUUCUAGUCAACUUUCUUUCUUCUGUCUUCUGAGUUGUGACCGAGUUGUGUUGUGCCUCCACUAAGUAAAGUUGCAGCUGAAAUUAUACUCACUGUACUCUCUACUCCUUUAGUUGCAGUUUCUGAUUCACUAGACGUGAGGAAUCCAGACGUAGAGUGAUGGGCUGCUUCCAGUCCAAAAUCCCUCAUCAGCUUCCUCCUCCACCUCCUCCUCCGCCGCAAACUAACUCAGAUCUAGGUCAUUUUCUUUUCCUUUCCCAUUUCUUCUCUUCAUACACAAUAUAAAAUAAUUUAUCCUUCAUCCAUGGACUCUUUAUUUAUUUUUACUUAUCAGAUGGGAAUGGGGAACAGCAGGCGGUGCCCGCAUUCAACGAGUUCAGCCUCGCCGAGCUGCGGGCAGCUUCCAAUGGAUUCAGCACUGACCUCAUUGUGUCAGAGAGUGGAGAAAAGGCUCCCAAUGUGGUGUACAGAGGGAAGCUUAAGAACAAUCGAGUAGUGGCCAUUAAGCGAUUCUCGAGGCAAUCAUGGCCCGACCCUCACCAGUUUGUUAACGAAGCUGCUAUGGUUGGGAACCUCCGUCACAAGAGGUUGGUCAAUUUGAUCGGCUGUUGCGCCGAGGGGGACGAGCGCUUGUUGGUCGCUGAGUAUAUGCCUAAUGAUACCCUCUCUAAGCAUCUUUUCCAUUGUAUGUCUUUCCCCCUCAUUUUUGCCUUUGCUCCUUUCUGACAUUUUCCUUCUUUUCUUUUUACUAUUAAACAGUGGCAUCCUCCUUUACUCCCUUUGAUUGCGUAUUUAUGAAAAUUGCUAUCAAUAAUGCAGGGGAAAAACAGCCUUUACCAUGGGAAAUGCGCCUUAGAGUUGCUUACCAUAUUGCUCAAGCCCUUGAGCACUGCAACGCUCAAGGCCUUAAAAUUUAUCACGAUUUAAAUGCUUACAGAGUUCUUUUUGAUGAGGUACAUUCCCUUUCCACCCCAAUAUUUUUCUUACCUCUGCUAAUUUCCUUUCCACCAUAAUAUCUUUCUUUUCCGUGCUUCCACUGCUUUAGUAAAUGAGGGCUGAUUCAUGAAGAGAUUGAAUGUUAUCUUGUUUAUUGUUACUACAUUGAUGAAUAUUUGUUUUAUUAUUGAUCAUUAGCUUCAACAUUCUUUGUGAUUCAACAUUUAAAGCUCUUGGAGAUUUAUGUAUGACAUGGGACGGCUCUUUUUGAAAUGGGUAGAAAACGGCACCUCUUUAGCAGUUCUAGAACCUUUCCUGCUAAUUUUGCACUCGUCUAUGAUAUUUGGGCACAUUUGUUUUCAUUACAUUUUGAAUGUUAACCACAUUCUCAUUUGACAUUCAUUUUAGUGGUUGGCCUUGCUAGUCUGGCAUGGGCUUUGUGGUUUUGGAGAUCUCAAAAUUAAUUGUUUCAGUGGGAUAGACUACUAGAGAAGACUAGAAUAUAGGAUCCAUCUUCAUAAAUAUUAAAUAGCCAUGUUCCAUAAGUAAAAUUAUAGAUUGAAAUUGUGCUCAACGUUUAUGACUUGUCUCUGAAGGCAGAUCAGUUGCCAGCAUUGGCAUUUAGCUUUUCUGUUUCUUUUCUAAUUUUAAUUUCAUUUUAUGCCAGGAAGGUGAUCCUCGGUUAUCUAGUUUUGGACUAAUGAAAAAUAGCCGAGAUGGGAAAAGCUACAGUACAAAUUUGGCAUAUACUCCUCCUGAAUUUUUGAGGACAGGUAUGUGCUUCUGAUUUCAAUUAUUCACUUAUGGACAACUAGGAUUUUCAAAUUCAACAAACUAGUUUUCUUCUUUAAUCUUGAAGUAAGAAAGAAAAUACAUUUCGUACGCCUUCUGAAAAGAAGGGGAUUUAGUUAUUGAAUUGAUAUUCUUUCACUGCUAAAUAAUUUGAAUGUUAAAAUCUUCAGGCAGGGUCAUCCCCGAAAGUGUGGUCUACAGUUAUGGAACUGUACUCCUGGAUCUCUUAAGUGGAAAGCAUAUCCCUCCCAGCCAUGUAUGAUACAUUCUAUUAUCCAAAUUUAGUUCUUUUCUUUGUAUUUCCCUGCUAAUACUGCUCUCAAAGUUCUUAGUGAGGAAAAAUUGCUGUUCUGGUAGAAUUUGGGUAUAUCUUGAGUUUCUUUGCAACUUUUUAAUGUAAAAUUGAUCCUUCCUGGCAUUGGAAUUCAGUUAUUUUUCUGUACAUGUAAGCACUAAGAAUUAGUUGGACCCGAGGCUUUUGGUAAGUGUUUUAUUUACCGUUUGGCUAGGUUCCAUGAGAAGUUGUUGUUGGGAGGCUUAGAAAGUCAAGUAAGAUCUGUAAAAUUUUGGCAGAGUGCAGAAUAUCCUAACAUAGAAGUCCUUAAUAUCCACUGUACUAUUAUGGAACUGUUCUAUAGAUGAUGUUGAGCUUUAUCAAUGUCCCAUAAGAUGGGUCAAGGAACUAAAAGUAGAAGUCUUGUAUUAUAUAUAUAUAUAUAUAUAUAUAUAUAUAUAUCACNNNNNNNNNNNNNNNNNNNNNNNNNNNNNNNNNNNNNNNNNNNNNNNNNNNNNNNNNNNNNNNNNNNNNNNNNNNNNNNNNNNNNNNNNNNNNNNNNNNNAGAUACACACAAUAGAUGAGUCCUGCAGUGUUUCAAGAAUGGUGGUUCCUUUCGUUUAUCCCUGGGGAGGCAUUAGUCAGGGACUUCUAUGUUUUGAUUAUUUUGGUAUUCUUUUUUGGUGACUGCUGAUAUUCUGCUUGUUUAUCUGUUAUGAUCUUUGUUCUCAUUUACUUACGUAUGAUACAGCUACAUCUGUAAAUUUUAUGUCAUCAAUUUUGAAACUAUUAUGUGACUUGAUUCUCCAGGCCUUGGAUUUGAUAAGAGAGAAGAAUUUAUUGUUGUUAAUGGAUUCUUCCCUGGAAGGACAAUAUGCUAAUGAAGAUGCCAGGGAAUUGGUUGAAUUGGCUUCAAAAUGUCUUCAGUAUGAGGCUAGAGAUCGACCUGAUACCAAAUUCCUCCAUUCAGCAGUGGCACCUCUUCAAAAACAGGAGGUGAAAAUUUCCAGUCAUUGAACUCACUGCCAUUUCAAUUUUAGAGUAUCAUGUAUUGAUGCAUCUUAAACCCUACUGAAGUAAUACGUUCCCUUGCUUUCCAUAGGUUGCCUCACAUAUUCUAAUGGGUCUAUCAAAAACCCCAGUGGUGCUGCCAACUAUGAUUUCCCCGCUUGGAAAGGCAUGUGCUAGGAUGGAUCUUACUGCAGUGCAUGAUAUCUUACUGAAAACUGGUUAUAAAGAAGAAGAAGGUGCAGAAAAUGAGGUGGGUUACGGCUAUUUUACUUUGUCAAUGUCACAUAAUAACUGGCUAUGCAUAGUUUCAUUUGUCUGUCCCUUCUGUGGUUUAAUAUGCUGGCACUGUGUGAUUGGUGAAGCUGUCAUUCCAAGAGUGGACACAACAGGUUCAGGAUAUGCUGAAUACAAAGAAAUUUGGAGAUAUUGCAUUUAGAGACAAAGAUUUUAAAAAUGCUAUUGAUUACUACUCAAAGGUAACUUUCUUCAUGCGGUGUACUUGUUUACUAUUUGACAAGCUUGCUUACUGGGAUGUUAUAUUAAACAUAAGUUAAUUUUUAAUUUUUAUUCUAGUUGUUAGAAAAUAUUUAUUGGCCUCUGAAUAAUCUCCAAAAGAGAGUUUAACCUGCUAAUAUUUCAUGUUUGGAGUCCAACUUAUUUUCUUUAGCUACAUAAUUGUUUUGGGUAUUACGGAAUUGCUUUAGCUUGAUCAAUCUGCUUUGUUCCUCCAUUUCCUUUCUACAUGCUUGUAAACAAAUUUCAACCUGGGUUUUCAGUUUUUAAAGGUAGUUAACGUUUUCCCCUUGAAUGCAGUUGGUAGCGAUGAUGUCUGUUCCUUCUGGUACUGUAUUUGUGAGAAGAGCCCUUUCAUACUUGAUUAUUGGCCAACCAGAACUUGCCUUGAGAGAUGCCAUGCAGGCUCAGGUAUGCUUGCCCGAGUGCCCCACUGCCUUCUACAUGCAAGCUCUUGCCCUCUCCAAGCUUGGAAUGGAAACCGAUGCACAGGACAUGCUUAAUGAUGGAGCCUCAUUUGAGGCAAAGAAGCAGAAUGGCUGGCGUGUCUAAGCAGCGAUCAGGCAGUAUUGUUAUUUUUUUUUCAAAAAAAAAAGAAAAAAAGAAAAAGAAAAGAGUUUGACAUAAAGAAAUGUGUAAAGGAUAUUAAAUAUGAUGGAAUAAAAUAGAGUAGGAAAAAGACAUUUGGUUCUGGUGCUGCUGAUUUUCUGAACAAGUUUUGGUUGAGAGUUUGGAUCCUUGUAGCAUUCUGAACCAAACUCAGCACCACCAGAACCCGAGAACCUAAUCCCUAAAAAAUGCGUUUUGUCCCUGUAGUAUGAAAUAAAGCAUUUUGAUCCUUCAUAGUAUUAAAUUUUGUAAGGUUAAACCCCAAAACCAUGACAUGAAUUUUCUUUCGAUAUGUGGCAUUACUGAAUAAAAUGGGUUCCAUCGUCUUGACCAGGGCCACUCAAGAAAAGAUCAAAGCCACAAUUAUAGAGAUGUGAAAUGCUUUUAUCUUAGAAGACAAGGAUGAGGGGUUUUAGUGCCAUUGACGAGCGGAUGAAGAUAUUGAGGUGGGUGCAGCUGCCCCUGCCGUUUUAUUCUACGAAUCUCGCAAGCUUGGGAACUCAUUUAAAGUGUAUAGGUGUAGUUAUAUGAAACUUGUUUUGUGAUCCGUAAGAGCAAAAAUUGUUCCCACUCUGAGUUUUGACAGUUCAAUGAAAGAACAAUAAAACACAAGUGGAAAAUAACAAUAUAGAAGUUUAAGAGAUAGGACGGUUAUAUGAGUUUUGAAUCUACUGUACAAUUUCACGCUCCAACAGAUAAUCUCAGUCAAAAUUAUUCCAAUUUGUUUGCCCCCGUUAUAAAAAAUAAAAUAAUUUUGUAAUUUUAUUAAAAAAAGCCUGACAGCAAGGUUUUUAGUUUUCUUUUGCAACUUAUACUCCUUUUUAUUGUUAGAAUUCCAACGUGUAAUUACCCAGUCAUAAAAAUAAAAUAAUGUGUAAAUUAAAAAAAAGCCAGGUAAGUAAAUCUAGCAGACUUGAGGGAAAUGGCUGGACUAAGGACUAAAAAAGUCCAAAAUGGAAAAGUAGUGGGAUUAAAUUUGAGCUAGAAGGACUAAAUUCGUAUAUUUUGAUAAGUAUAGGAACCAUUCUUAAAAUUUUACCUUUGGAAAUUAAUAAAAAGAAUUACAAAUACCAAUAUUUAAAUGUCAUGUUUACUGAACACAGAGGCGCGAUAGAUUCUUCUAAUAAUUUAUCCAAUCUUCAAGCUUCAAACCCCCUACCACUGAAAAGAAAAAGGAAAAACAAAAAAAAACCUCAAAUGAGUCUUCACCAAAUAGCUGUCUCUCAUUCUUUUCUGUUAUCUUCUCGCUCUGCUUAUACUCUCAAUCCUCUUUUGUUCUCAAAACGAAACCGUUUUCGCAUUUCCCUCUCUCACUCUCGUUUCACUUCGAUAAAACAUAGGAGCUUUGCUGGUAAAAUAAAAUAUAAUGAAAACGUCUUUUUAUUAGUAAAAUCAGCCUAGAACUUGAAAGUCGUGCAUUCUUCUGUGAAACUUUUGAUGAAUUUAGUUAAUAUCUUUAGCAUAUUCAUUUUAAAGGGUACUUAUUUGAGUUGCAUAUGAGUUUAAUUUCUUGUCGCAUUUUCAGUGGCUGUAUCAGACAACGGCAUUUUCACUUCUCCAGAGUUGGCAAAGUCGUUUGAUUUUACUUCGGAAGAACGAAUAUACAAUUGGUAUUUUAUUCUUGAAUCUGAUAAUCAGUUCUUUAUUUUCCUUUUAUAAAGAUUCAUCUUUUUAAAUUGAAUUUUGAGGUUUUUAUGUUGUUUGCUCCUUAUCUUUGGCCAAAUAAAAGUUUUCGAUUUACUGAAGUUAACGAAAGUGAUUAAAUGUAUCAAUGUUAGAGAAGAGGCUAUUUUAAUUAUUUCAUCCUUAUGAACUUAUCUUUAUGUGUCUGACACAGAUGUAUUCAAUUCUUUUUCAUGUCCAAAUAUGUGUAGGAUAAUCGCGUUUACAUAUUUUAGCUUUAUAUAGCUUUUGACAGGUUAAUAAUUCGUAUUAUAUUGAUUUAGGCAUGUUUGUGUAUUCGUGUGUGGUGUUUCUAUUUUAUGUUAUGCCAUGUAUUAUAUACUGUUUUAGUUUUCUUUUUUUUUUUUCUGAAUCGGGUUUAUGUUGUGUUUUACUUUUAUCCUUUUCACAUGGUUCAUAUUUUGACAAACCGAACAUUGGAUUUAACAAUAUAAUCGUACUGGUUCGUGUUUGUAAAGUUUCAAAUAGAUGAAAUAACUCUAUCAUAUCAAUCGAGAAUACUAUUUUUUUAAAUAUAUUUUAGCGGUUGAAAGUUUUUUACAUUGAACAAAUGGUUAGAUAUAUUUUUAAUUUUCUUAAAACUUGAUGGAUGAUCUAUGUGAAUAGAAUGUGAAAUAUGAUGGUAAUGAUGGUAGGGUUAAACAAUUACAUAUCCUAUGAAAAGAUAUGAAAGUGCAUAAAACUAAAUAGUUUUGCACUUAUAUAAGUGGAUUCCUCCCUAUAUAUGUCUGUAUAAAAUAAGUUCUUAGAUUUGGUUGUUAUCUCCACAAUAAGAAACACCCUUUUUUGCUUGUCAUUUCAUUCCUCUUUUUGGUUGACAUAGUUAGCAUAAUUAAAGACAUUGGAUCACUUUUCAAGUUAAAUUUUUGAUCAAAUAUUGAUCUUAAGUAUUUCGUUUAUGCAGGUCCUGCAAUUUUUGUAUGUUUGUAAAGCUUUUACUUGUUUAUUUUAUUCUGGGAGGGUUUGUGUGUCUAAAAAUGCUGUUAUGAGCAACUGUUCUACUGUUCUGAAUUAACCGUCAGAAAGUUUUUUUUGUUAAACUUCAGCAUAUGUGCCCUUGUUUAGAAUUUAGAUAUGAUUAGAUGUUCUUACUUGUAAUGAAUUUUGUUAACAUAUAUAUAUCUGUUGAGAGUAUUUAUGGAACUCUUGGAUGUCAGGUGGCUGUCUCAAGGCUAUUUCAGACCAAAAUUUGACUGGGAAAGUGAUCCUUUUGUCAUAUCAAUGCCACCUCCUAAUGUUACUGGCUCUCUGCACAUGGGACAUGCAAUGUUUGUAACUCUUGAGGUUGUGAAGAUUAUUAAAUGAAUCUGAAAGGACUUAGUUGCCAUUACUUCUUUCACUGGUAGUGUCAAACAUUUAGGAUGCAUUUGUCAGGCAUUAUUGAUACAACAUUCUGUGGUUUUCUGAAUUUAUUAAUAAACUUGAAAGUGCAGAUAACUACAUGCGGACAACCUUUGCAUCUCAACUUCGAAAGAUGUUUCAUAUAGCAUAAUCUGAUUUUAUUCAACGCAUUUGAGUCUACAGUGGUCGAUGUAACUCCUUGUACUCAGAAAAUGUCUUCUUAGUAAAAAUGGCCAGAUUCUCUUAAUUGUAGUGGUUAGUGUCUUGGAUGAACCUUGAUGAAGAUGUGGAGGAGGAUGAGAUAUAAAGAUACAAAGAUCCUUCUAGUUCUAACAGAUUCUAACCUUUAUUUUUUAGACAUUGUAAUUAUUGUAAAUUUUGUUGACUUCGCUAUUGGUGUUGUCAUGCUUAUUUAUUUAAUUGUAUCCGUCUCCUUUGGUGGUCUCCGUUAGGAUAUCAUGGUUAGGUACCAUCGCAUGAGGGGAAGACCAACACUUUGGCUUCCUGGAACUGAUCAUGCUGGCAUUGCAACUCAGGUUAGUCUCUUGAUGAUCAUGAUUUCUGCUCAUCUGAUCUCCCGAACUAGUAAGAAAAAAAAGGAAGACAUAUUUUGGAAUAGUCUAAUAAUCUAAUCCAACUACCUUCAGUUUUAACUUGUGUAAUGUUUUCUGGAAAAAGGAUUGAUCUUUAUGGUUGUAUUAUCUCUAGUAAUCUUUUUGUAAAUAUAAUGUUUUCAUCUUUGUUGUUGAUUUAUAUUCUGCCCUCUUUAUACAUAAUGUUCUGUGUAGAGAAUGAGUAUAUAUGUUGUAUCCUGUUGAAUGGGAAUAUAUAAUUGAACCUAUUUUACUUUUCUUUUCCCAGUUGGUUGUGGAAAGAAUGUUGGCUUCUGAAGGAAUAAAAAGGGUAGAACUGGGCAGAGAUGAAUUUGAAAAACGAGUUUGGGAGUGGAAAGAGAAGUAUGUCUUCCCUUAAAUUAUUUGCAUACUUGGUUUUUCUGCUGUUCUUUGCUGAUUUUGAAUCUGUUACUUUGUACAUAUCAUCUAUUGUGUUUUUGUUGUUUCUGAAGAAAGGGUUUUUUUUUUUUGGGGGGGGGGGGGGUUCUCCGCAACUUCAAUAAAUUCUACUUCUUCUCCUUCCAAAUACUGAUACUUAUGGGGUUUUAUUGCUUUAACCCGUUGCUUAAUUUCUGGUGUUUAUUGUUCAUUUUUGACCAUUAAGGUUUCAUAUAGGUACUACUUUGUUUUGUAUGUUUUAUCUAUUUUUUGUUCAUUGCUGGUCUUUUUUCUUUUCAAUUUCAGAUAUGGUGGGACCAUUACUAAUCAGAUUAAGAGACUUGGGGCUUCUUGUGACUGGACUAGAGAAUGUUUCACCCUCGAUGAGCAGCUAAGUCGUAAGACAAGUUUUAUAUCUAGUAAAAGUGAAAUCUAGCUAAUGUUCAAAGUCUUUAAAUUAUGUGUAAAGUUCCAAUCUGUGACCUGUUUUACUUGUUACCUCAUUUGUUUUCUUUGCAUUGUACAUAUGGCAGUAAUAAUAGUAGUGAUAAUCAUAGAAGUAAUAAUUAGGCGCUUACAUUUGUUCAAAUAACAGUAGGGUAAGUUUGUGUUCUGAACCUUGCAUUCCUAUUGCAGGAGCUGUUAUAGAGGCAUUUAUUAGACUUCACGAAAAAGGAUUAAUUUAUCAAGGUAUAUGCCAAAAUUCCAUUGCUUACUAUCAUGUUUCACUUUGCUAACUGAUAUUUAGCAUGUUUACUUUCUCAUUUGAUCAUAAUAUUCUAUCUUCCUCCUUUGCUUCAGCUGCCUAUCAUAGGGAAAAGAAAAUAAUGUCAAUAUUAUCUUUCUGUGCACUAAAAAUCUAGAAGAAAUUAUGAUAUCAAAUGAAAAACAACAAAGAAGACUGGUAUUAACAUUUAAAAGGAAUUUUAUAUAUCUUUUCCCCCUUAGAGUGUAUUGAUUUAGAAAUAUUGAUGGUUCAAUUUGACUUCUAGUCUGAGUUAGUCAUUGACUGGUCCAAACUUGGUAACAUGGAACUGAUGUAAAUAGACUUUUCUGUACUUAUUAUUGUACAUGUGCAUAUAGAAUGUCUGGUCUGAAAAUAGCUGAGCAAAAGACUGAAGGGAAGGAGGUUCUAAACUUAAAAGCUUUUCUUUUGGACUUCAAGUACAGUUAUUUUUCAUGGUGACUUGAAUAUAUUCUCUGGAGUUUGGCGGUAGGAUGUGGGAACUACUUUCUUUUUCGUUUGUUAAUUUAUCAAAUAUUUAACUAUACAACUCAGCUCAGAUUUUUCUGAUUUGAUUUUAUUGUUAAUUGCACCAUAUUAGUCUCAGUAACUAACCUAGUUUAACUGAUAUGAUAUCUUCUUUUAGGGUCUUACAUGGUUAACUGGUCUCCAAAGUUACAGACUGCUGUUUCAGACUUGGUAUGAAUCUUGUUUGCAUGGGGAUAUUGCUUUUCUUUUUAUGCAUUUUGUUUUACAUUCUUUAUCAUUCAACAUUGUCUUUUGCAUGUUCCCAUAGGAAGUAGAAUAUUCUGAAGAGCCUGGUACCCUCUACUAUAUUAAAUAUCGCGUUGCUGGAGGUUCAAGGUACUUCUUGUUAGGCAUUUUUUGUGUGUUUUUGCUUUGCUUUUCUGGAGUAAGAAUGGACUUAAAUAACUCAAACAAGAAAAUGUAGUCAUUCAACUGGAUUCAUAAUUGCCAGAGUAAAAAGAUAGAAGGACUGAGAGAAGACAGGGAAUGUUAUGUUACCUUAAGAGCUUUAAAAAUUUACUCUAAUUGGAAUGUCAAAUGUGGUAACUAAGUGGUAGAGAAUCUCCUUAUCGUAAUAUUAUUUUAUUUUUGAUUUAAUAUAAAAUUUACACAUGCUUUCAUUUCAUAUGGACAUAAAUGUCCUCAAAUAGAUCAUUUGCAUCUACUUUUUUAAUAUUGCCAUGUACUUUGACUGAUACUUUAAAUUUUGCUCUCUAUUAGAAGUGAUUUCUUAACAAUAGCAACAACAAGGCCUGAAACUCUGUUUGGUGAUGUAGCUAUAGCUGUGCAUCCUCAGGUAUAACACCUUCAUUUUCUAUUGAAAUACUUGUGAAGAAUGCAUGGCCAAGUGAUAAGUAGUUACUUCUGGUAAUUCAAACUUUAUAAGAUGUGAUGCAAUGGUCCUUGGUUAAUUGUUACUUUCUGUGCCUAUGUGCUUAAGAGGCUGUGUCUUUGAUAUAUUGAUCAAUGUAGUGUAAAGAAUCUUCCUAUUCUGCUCUUUUUCUUUACUACUAAAGUACUUACAUAAGGGAAUAUGUUUCCAAUUUUAUGUGGGUUUUUCUGGAGUAUGGUUUGAAGUGCAAUAGAAUAACAUACAAUGCAGGAAGAAGAAUAGAAGUAAUUGGAAAAUAUGAAUAAGGAUGCAGCAUUUAUGAAAUAUUAUGAUAAACAUAAAGACCAUUUCUGUUUCUAGUUAUUCAUGGAAGCUUACGAAUGCAUGUAUUACAAUAAACCAUAAAAGAAGAGGAAAUAUUGACAACAUGAUGCACUAUUCAUAAAGCUAGUAAAAUCUGUUAAAAGCUAUAUCUUUAUGGAUUUCUACUAAAAUCCUUAUCAUGUAUAUACAUUAAUUGAUCGAAUUUGAUAAUUAUAUUGGAUUUAGAUUUUUAAACUUGGUACAGUUGAAUCAUCAAAUUUUAUAUUUAACAUUAGUUCAUGACCACUAUAAUAUAACUGCGUUUGCAAUAUAGUGAGAUUUUUUUGUUAAUAUUUCUAUUGCGUUUUCACCAUUUUUUAGUAACUCAUGUAACAGACAAUUUCCUUCAUCCAAUUACUGAGUGCAUUUAUUUAGAAGUAGAUCAUACUAUCUUGUGGGCCGAAUAAAGGAUGCUGUUUGAGAAAUUGUUGAUUGAUAGGACUAUUCUUUACAAAGAAAUAGAAAGUGUGAAUUAUUUAAAUAAAAACAAAAGACGAUUCACUGGUUGCAUGAUGCCACCUGGAUAAAGGCACCAGUGAUUGGUUAAUGUGGAAAAAGAUUUAAAUAAUAAGGUUAACUUGAGCAACAUAACAUAUAACAGUUUUAUUAAAGAAUCUUUGGAUGCAGCAUUAAAAAUGCUUUCUUUUAGUUAAACCAUAGUGGCCUUUUCUUUUUUCCCCAAUGAUUGGUAACAUAAGUUAUUCCAUUCCUUAUACCAAGUGUCCUGUCUUGCAAUAAAUCCAGAACUUAGACUACCCUUCAGGUUUUGUUUGAUUUGGGAUGUCAUGGCCUAUAGGUAUCCAGCAAAACAUGCACAAAAGUUAUAACUUACAACUCUGUGUCCUUGUAUGAUUGACACAUCACUUUUGUUCAGGAUGAGCGAUAUUCCAAGUAUGUUGGGAAAAUGGCAAUUGUUCCUAUGACAUAUGGUCGUCAUGUUCCUAUCAUCUCUGAUAAGGUAAAAGCAUGUGUUUCUGUUUUUUUCUAAGUAUUGUUGCUUUCUCCAAAUUUUGUAUCAAUGUAUGAAUGCUAAUUUUUCCUUACUCUUUGUCACUCAAAUUGGUAGGAAUGCACAUGACAGAGGAAUUGAAACACAAUUUUUAAAGCAAAAAGUAUGUUGGAUUGUUUUAGCAUAAUAAAAUCAUAUCAUAUUAGUUGUAAAAGGUGUAGUACAUUUUGGAGUCUCUAAUGUCCAUUUCGUGCUUCAAAGAAAUUGAAAUGCACUGCCUUUCACAAGCUAUGGAAUAUCUGCCUUGCCUAAGGUUAUUUUGGUCAUCAUGAUGAAAUUGUGCUUCAAAUUUAGGAUGUAUUCCCUGCAUAACCUAUACGCUUCUUCAUUGUGGGCUUCGCCACUAGUUUUAGAAAACAAAUGGUUUGCUUGACCUGCUUAAUGGGGUUAGUUGAGGUGGCAAAUGUUUCAACUGUGUCCAUUAAAUUAAGAAAUUUCAGGUUGCAAUCUCAUUUCUGCUUUCUUUGUUAUGUCAAUGGUGGCAGUAUGUUGAUAAAGACUUUGGGACUGGUGUACUGAAGAUAAGCCCUGGACACGAUCAUAAUGAUUAUGUUCUAGCUAGAAGGCUUGGCCUUCCUAUUCUUAAUGUUAUGAACAAGGACGGGACAUUAAAUGAGGUUGCUGGACUGUACUGGUAAUAUUUGUGGACUUUCUGAACAAAUGCUAAAUUAAAGUUUACCGUUCAUCUUUUCUUUUGUCGUACUUAUGGUGGUGGCUCUUAAAUUUUAGUGGCCUUGAUCGGUUUGAGGCACGGAAGAAAUUGUGGUCUGAUCUUGAGGAGACUGACUUAGCUGUGAAAAUGGAACCCCACAGUUUAAGAGUACCGAGAUCUCAGCGUGGCGGAGAGGUGUGCAUGUUAUCUUUCAGUUAUAUUCUUUUUGUUUUUAAAGUUACAGUGUCGAUUAUUAUUCUCUCAGUAAUUCUUUCUCUUAUUUUCCCCUUUUAUGGUUCUUUUAUUAGGUAAUAGAGCCACUAGUAAGCAAGCAGUGGUUUGUAACAAUGCAGCCCUUAGCUGAAAAGGCUCUUCUUGCAGUUGAAAAGGGAGAAUUGACCAUUAUUCCUGAAAGAUUUGAGAAGGUAUGAUGGAAAGCAUAACUCUUGAUAUGGACUCUAACUUUACUCACCUCCUCACUUUCCCUUAACCUAUGCUGUUCUGCCUUAUCCAUGUUUCCUAAUUAAAGUACCUGCAUUUAAUGAUCAUGUCAACAUGUUUAAGCGGACACAAAUAAAAGGUAUGACCUUCUAAGCAUAAGGAAAAUUUUGGAAACAUGCAUGUUCCCAGGUAGGACACUAUCAUGUCCAAUGAUGGUACCAUUUUAGUCAUUUUCCAGUCUCCAUCUAGCUAACUCUCCCUCCCUGCUGAGAGGAUGGCCACAUUUUGUCAUUCUUCAUAGUGCAACACUCCUCAGCACAUGCUACUGUCAUCUGGGACCUUUCUUCCUAUUUAAUCGAUAUUUUACUUUAAGUUUACUGCUGUUGGCUAGGUUCUGCCUUUGCUCACUUCUGCUUAUUUUGAUGACAGAUUUAUAAUCAUUGGCUGACAAAUAUCAAGGAUUGGUGCAUAAGCAGACAGCUGUGGUGGGGACACCGCAUACCUGUUUGGUACAUUGUUGGAAAAGACUGUGAAGAGGAAUACAUAGUUGCUAGGAGUGCUGAGGAAGCUCUUAUGAAGGCUCGUGAUAAAUACGGAAAAGAAGUAGAAGUUUAUCAGGAUCCAGAUGUUCUUGACACUUGGUUCUCAAGGUUGGUUAUUCAAUUUUAAACUCCUUAACUAUGAUAUCAUCAUUUUAGGAUGGAAAGUCAUUCUUUACCUAGAGAUUCUCCCUCUUUUUUGGUACAUAAUUAGCUUUCUUCUCUAACUGAUUGGAUGGGAUGAUAUUGUAUUACAAGCUAGAGUUCACAACCAGUCUUUGUCAAUUCUAUUUUUGAUGUCCCUUUGGUUUUAUUUUCUUAUUAUGUCGUGUUUAUGUUAGGGGAUCUGAUUAGGAUACUGAUUUUGUGGGGAUUUGGUUCUAAUUUUUAUUUCCUAAAAUUUCCUUAUUAGUUUAAAUAAAACUUUCCUGAUAAAUUAGGAUAUUCUGAUGUCAUAUUUUUAUUUUCCGUAUUAGAAUAAGAAAGUAGGGUUUUGCAUCUUAGUUCCUAAAUUAUAAACCUCUUUAUGAGAGAAAAAUUAUUCAUGAAUAAAAUAAGUUGAAUGUUUCAGCAAAUCAAAGGUAGGCAACUCCUUUUGAGUUCCACAACCAUAGGCAAAAAUAUGAAUCAAAAUAAGGGAAAAGACCCUUCUUCGGAUUGAAUUCUUGCGCUACUCGUCUGGUGCCUCAAACCCAGACUCGGGUCCAUAAUAGUUUAUUUCUGUUAUCACCUUUUCAAGUAAAUAAAGGAUCUUCAAAUAAACCUGAGGUGGUAUUUGUAUUGUAAUCUUUAACUAAUGUAAUAACAGUGUUUAGAUGAUGCAAUAUUUUCAAGCUAUCAAUCAAAUAAGUGCACCUGUUUUUUUCCUUUUUCGUGUAUGUAAGUUAUUGAUUAGAUAUGAAGAACUAUUCCAAAAAAUCUGCUGACAUGUCCAAAAUGAAAAAGGAUAAAUCAUGUUUUGAGUCUUUGAGAUCACAUAGAAUAAAGCAAGUAAUAUUUUGAAAUUGUCAUCCAAAUGAAGCUAUUAUAUUAAUGUUGUCACUUAACUUUCUUGCAUAAUUAUAAAAGGAAAAAAAAUUCUCUGUAAGUGGUAGGAUUUCCUGUCACUUCAAUCUUCCUAAGUUGAAAUUUCACUUACAUCCUGACCUGUUAGUACCUGGUAGGAAAGUUCUGAUGGUUUUUUGAGAGGUCCAAGGUUGAGUCCAAAUAUGUUUGAUAUCUAACUCUGGUGCAAAAAGUAUUGAGGCAACCAUGUUGAUUAUUUGAAACAUUUUUGUGUAAGUGGCUGAAAGCACUUUAUUGUGAUAAAUGAGUUCAUUUGCUGGGUUGAGUAAUGCAAUAACUGGUAGAAAAUGGCGUAAGUUGCUUUUUUCAGCCAUCUUCUUCAACUUGAGUUUUAAAGGUUUUGAUAUGGUUCUCCCAUUCUCUGGAAAUGAAACUUGUCAUGCACACAUCAAUCUUUGUUUGUGUGAUAAAUGCUAUAUAUUUUGCUGCUUGCUCUCUUUCAGUGCAUUAUGGCCUUUCAGUACUCUUGGGUGGCCAGAUGAGUUGGCAGAGGAUUUUAAAAGGUUUUAUCCGACAACAAUGCUUGAAACUGGGUAUGAGCCACUUUGUUUAACUCCUAUUGCUUAGAUGAGGUGCCCUAUUCUUUUCCAUAAGAGAGUGCUUCUAUUAUUAUUCAAUAACAAAUUAGAGGGCAUUAUAGCAUACUUGGUCUCAAGAAAUUCCAUUUGAUCUACUUUUCUAUUUUUUAACUGUUGGCCUUAACACUUUUUCACUUUGGACAGCCAUGAUAUAUUGUUCUUUUGGGUUGCAAGAAUGGUCAUGAUGGGAAUCGAAUUCACAGGAACUGUUCCAUUUUCAUAUGUAUAUCUUCAUGGUCUAAUCCGUGAUUCACAAGUAAGUAGAGUGUCUGAAUCAGGCUACAACUUAGGUGCCCAUUUUAAAGUACAAUUUUUUUUCUCGAGUUGUGUUCCCCUUCAUCUGCAUCUAUACUUUUGUCAUUAGAGUUCCUUUUCAAAAUAACAUGACACUAGUUCCAUUGCUCCCAAGACUCAAGAAAAUAUCUGCCUAACAUGUAAGUUGUUUCAGGGGCGUAAAAUGUCUAAAACUCUUGGCAAUGUUAUUGAUCCACUUGAUACUAUCAAGGAGUUUGGCACUGAUGCCUUGCGAUUCACUCUUGCUUUGGGAACUUCUGGUCAGGUUUGUCUUGUACUACAGGCAAGAUGUUGGUAAUUCAAUAAUGAAAAGUUGUGUCACAUAAUGUUCACUACUGUUCUAAUGUCCAUGGUUCUAGCUUAUGAUAGUAUGUCUAAUUAGCCAAUUUCCUUGAAUAAUCUCUAGGAUCUUAAUUUAUCUACUGAAAGGCUAACAGCGAACAAGGCCUUCACAAACAAAUUAUGGAAUGCUGGCAAGUUUGUGCUGCAGGUUCUGCCUAAUCGGGAUAAUGUUUCUGGUUGGCAGAAUAUAGAGGCUUGUAAGGUUUGUUCCUCUUUUCUCAGAUUAGUGGAAUAGUAUUAGACCACCUGUCUGUCCUUGUCUUCAUACAACAGUAUGCAUUUACUACCAUAUCAUUUUUAACAUAAAUCAAAAGGAACAAGCACAUAUAUAUUAUUAAUUAUUGGAUAGGUGGAGUAUUCACUGUGUUUAUUGAUUAUACUAUCAACAGUAUUAAUCUGAGUUAUGCUUGCAUUUGUAACUAUUAUUAUUGCUCUCAGAAGAAAAAGAAAUCUAUUAUUAUUGCAUAGGGUGUAACUUAAUUUUCUUUUGACAUCAUCACAAUGUCCUGUUCCUAAGAAGAUUGGCAUCAUCCUAAUCAGUAAACUUUCCUUCUCAGUUUAACACGGAGGGGUAUCUUCUAAGGCUUCCUCUUCCAGAAUGUUGGGUGGUAAGAAAAAAAUACUGUGCUUGUUUUGCCACCAUCUAUUUAUUUGUAUACUUGAGCCAAGUUACCUCCAUUCAUACAUACCCUGAUUAUUCUUUUUCUGAAAGAUACAGAAGUUACUUGAGUACUGUUGUUCACUUUUCAGGUCUCAAAACUGCAUAUGCUAAUUGAUGCUGUAACUGAGAGUUAUAACAAAUUUUUCUUUGGGGACGUUGGGAGAGAAAUAUAUGAUUUCUUUUGGGGUGAUUUUGCCGACUGGUAUGUUGAAUGUUCUUUUAUAAUCUGCUUUCUGCUAAUAGAACGUAGUUCUAUUGUUUUAUGCCAUUAAGGUCUGGAUUUUAUGCCAUUUACAGAUCAUGAAAACAGAAAAGUAAUGAAGUUUAUGCUGUUGUUAUAUAGCACAUAAUGCCCUUUUUUUCUAAGGUUAAAGUUGUAAAAUUCAUUUGGUGGAUAGUGUGUGUUAUUUUAUUGUUAUCAUUACUAGAAUUCUAUUGUAAGUUGGAUCAGUAUGUGCUGUUGACACAUACAUGAAAUACCUGUCAUGGUCGUAUGUUUUUUGCAAAAAUACUGGUAUAAUUUUUACUCUGAUUAGCUGUAGUUAUUUUUGUGUUAUAUGUCCAGUUUUUAGAUCUGCAACCCAUGCUUGGGAUUUAUGUUUUUGUUGUUUUCAUAGGUAUAUUGAAGCCAGUAAAGCUCGCAUUUACCACUCUGGAGAUGAUUCAGUUGCUUUAGUAGCUCAGACAGUUCUACUCUACGUUUUCGAGAAUAUACUGAAAUUAUUACAUCCAUUCAUGCCAUUCGUAACUGAGGAACUGUGGCAGGUGUGGGCUUUGUAGUGUUUACCACGUUUUUUGUUAAUAUAAUUUUUAUAAUUUAAACUCAUUUAGUUUACCAUAUUCUUGAAUCUGAUCAUUCAUGUUAAUAUGAAGUUUGGAUAAAAUCUGCUGGAACACAAUUUCCAUUGAUGAGCACCUUAUCAAGUCUAGAUUUAAUGUGCACACUUGACUUUGCACAUGCACAUGUACUUAAGUGAAUUUUGGGUUCACAUUACAGCAUACAUGAAUAGUGCUUCCUACAAGAAAUGAUAUGUUUUCUUUUCUUUUAUUGUUGUAGGCAUCCCCUAAGGUUUUCUGUAGAUGUAACUAUGGAUUUUUCUUUUAUUUUAUUUAUCUUCAGGCACUUCCCAAUCGGAGAGAAGCUCUUAUAAUAUCUUCCUGGCCACAAACUGCUCUUCCCAGGAGUACUGAUUUGGUAAAAAGAUUUGAAAAUUUACAAGCUCUGGUGAGUUUAUAGAACUCUUCUUUUUUCCUCUACAUUCGCCACCAAAUACUCUUCAACCCAAGGUAAGGGAAUCGCUAACCUCUGAUAAUUUAUGUGCUAGACUCGAGCAAUCCGUAAUGCUAGAGCUGAGUAUUCUGUUGAGCCAGCAAAGCGCAUAACUGCUUCUAUUGUUGGUAGUGAAGAAGUCAUUCAGUAUAUAUCUGUAAGUGUAGUUUGUUUCUUUAGGGAUUGUCUUAUUAAUUAUAAAGAAAAAUGAAUGGCACCGUUUUGUUUCUUUUCUUGAUUGUGCCAUCUUUCGAUGCAUAAUAUAUACUUGUAAAUAUACUACCACAGGCUGUUGUAAAGUCUGGCGGAAAAAGGAAUGGCUGAAUGAACAAUGCUAAUGUCUUAAGUAUCUGUAUUCUUAGCAUGUCCUCAAAUCAAUGUUGAUAGGUUGUAUCCUCUUGAUGCAGGAAGAGAAGGAGGUUUUGGCUCUCUUAUCCAAGCUAGAUUUAGGCAAUAUUCAUUUCGCUGAUUCUCCUCCAGGCAUGUUUACUUUGAACCAUAUAUGCUUUGGUUCUAGGACAAAGAAAUGCUUUGCAUAUUCAUUUCACUAAUAGUACUUCCUAUUGACUCUCUUUGAUAUAUGAAAUGUUGGACAUCNNNNNNNNNNNNNNNNNNNNNNNNNNNNNNNNNNNNNNNNNNNNNNNNNNNNNNNNNNNNNNNNNNNNNNNNNNNNNNNNNNNNNNNNNNNNNNNNNNNNAGUGAAGGACUGGAGGCAUAUCUUCCCCUUGCUGAUAUGGUUGAUAUUUCUGCUGAAGUGCAACGCCUUACCAAGCGCCUAUUAAAGAUGCAAACGGAAUAUGAGGGACUUAAAGCUCGACUCAACUCUCCUAAAGUAUGAACUUUACUUUGUCAUUGAUGUAGAUGCACUAAUAUUACACAUUACUUUGGCAUAAAUGUAAUAGUGACCACCAUGCUUAAGCUUUUCAAACAUGACUGAAUGUACGGAUUAAAAUAGGAUAAAAACAAGGCACGGAACUUAAAAACAACACUACUUUGUAGUAGUCAGAGUUUCAUGGAGAGGAUUCCUGAAUAUGUUCGCUAUGGCAUUUUGUUUAUUAUGUGUCAACUUUAGUGGGGGCACUUACCCAGAGAACAUAAAAUUAACUUUAGGGAGAAGCUCAAACUGUUGUUUUUUUAAAAUCAUUUGGGAAAGUUUAUGUGCUAUAAAGCAUUUGGAAAAGUUUGGCGUACUUCAAUUUGGUGUAUCAUGAGAACUGGCCAUUGUUCGUUGUCAACAUUGCUACGAAAGUUAACUGAUAGUUCACUGUUUACUUUCAUAAGUCUUCUUAGGAUGUGUCAACUGAUGGCCUUUUCUUCUCCAACAAGCUUCAUAUUCUCCUAUGCUUGUUGAUGCCUGCAAUUGCUUACAAGCCUCUUACAAUCUAUAAUAUGUGUUCACUGCAGUUCAUAGAGAAAGCUCCCAAGGAUGUUGUCCGUGGGGUUCAGGAAAAAGCAGCAGAAGCAGAAGAGAAGAUUAAUCUGACCAAAAACCAAUUGGCUUUCCUGAAAUCAACUGUUAUGCUUUCGCAAUAGGCUCCAUAUUUGGUCAUAAUUUCAGUCUUAGCAAAGCUACACGUCCUGUUGGGAUGAUCUGCACUGUUUACUCAUAUAUGUCACUAUAAUAAUAAUAAUAAUAAUAAAAGAAAUGUAGAAAAAAAAUGAAAAAAGUCCCAGAUAGCAUCUACAUAGUAAAAAAACGGAGGAAGAGAAAAUAAUAAUAAUAAUAAUGGAAAAAGCUGCAUAUAUUAGGAUAAUAAUAAAUAGCCGUUAGCAUGGUAGCAAAUCAGUGAAAUCACAUUUUCAGCAACACUCAAUCAUUACUAAAUGCCGAAGGAUAUGAAAUGCCCACUAAUAUCACAUUAAAUUGAUAUCCACAAAUUUAUAAUUCUUUUCUCAUUUGAGCUAAACUUUGUACAUAAACCACAUGUCAUUUUGGAAGUGAAGUCAAUAGUUAAACAAUGAAGGUAAUCAAUUUAACAAAAAUGAUGGUUCACCUCUCUGACUUGUGCAAUCAAUAAACAUUUCUAGUGAAUUUGAAAUUAAUGAAAAAAUAACAUAUAAAUCAAAUGUUAUUCAAACAUUGAAAUCUGAAGGACUUUGUUUUCUCCUUUCUGCAAAACAUAUUUCUUCCAGUAAAAAUUGUUAUAGGGAAGAAAAGAAUUAUUUAACUAAUGAUGCCUUUAUUCUAUAUGGUGAUAGAGGUCACAAAGAUCAACACCUCAAGCAAGCAUUGUGCAAAACGUAAAUGCUCAUACAUCAAGGUUUCAACAGAACUUUUUUCAAUGGCCUUUUCCUGAUGAUAGAGAAAACGCUUAUAUUAGUUAACUGUUGAAAUCCCAUAUUCAGUUCCACUACUGGAAACUUACAAAGAGCCUAUUCAAUCACCUUUAAAAUGUCAAGCUAAAUAAACAUAUCAUCAGUUACUACUGUUUGUGAAGUAAAAAGAUUUCAAACCAAGUACUAAUGAAAGCAGCUCGAUAUGAAUAGUAUGAUGAUUACUUUGUAGUUUAGUUUCAAUUUAUAUUUACGGAAAAUUCAGUUUUGAUACUUUGUUUUUGUAAAUUGUGUCGUAAAUAUUAUUAUUAAAUAUUUAAUAACAAUCUCUUCAGCUCAAUAAAAUAUUAUUUAUAUUCUGCUACGUGCGCAGUCAUUAAUGGGUAUUUUUUUUUGUUUACUUCAUUCUUCGAGCUCCCGAAUUCAACCCGGUCGGGAAAAUGGAUUUCUAUUAAGUUUAAUUUUUUUUUGAAAGAUCUGUUAAGUUUAUUUAAAACUCUUUCAAGACACAAGCACAACCAAUCCAUGUCCAGAUCUGAUCUGAAAUCUGAAUACAUCGGUAAGUAGGUAGUAUAUCAAAGUUCUACUCUGCCUGUAUUUUGUAAAGAAUAUGCAUGCAUUUUUCAAGCAAUGACGUAAUUUAGGCUUAUUUUUGUGUGUGUUUAGGUUAGAACUGAUGGGAUCCGGUGGGAGCAAGGGUUCUUGCAGGGGAGGAGCUUCCUCGUCGAGUGGUGGGAGGAAGGGAAGAUCUAUUGGAAAGAAUAGAGUUUUCCAAUCCUCUCGCCUGGGAGCGCCUUCUGGAUCUGCUGACUCCCACUUUGACCGUCAGGUCUUUCUCCAUUCUCUUGUCUCAUAUUUUCCCCUCUUCUUCUUCCUCUUCCUUGAAAAAGAAGUUCGCUUCUUCAGGUGGUUGUUGUUGAUCACCAUAAUAAAGACUACGGCUCUAAUUUCACCAACCAGAACAGGAGAGAACGGGAAUCUGAGUCGGAUCAAGUGAAAAGAGAAUGUUCCAGAAAGGUUAAAGCUGAAUCGGCAUCUGAUUAUGAAAUGCCACUGCCAUGCAUAUCUUCCAAUGGUGUAGAUAUAGAUGCCUCGAGAAGUGGUAGCAGCUCUGGCAGAGCCACCACAGCAGUGCAUCACUCUCCUUCUCGCUGCCUCUCUGGCUUUAGCUUCUUUUCGGGUAACAUUAGCUUCGCAGAGCUAAUAGUUUGGGUUCGUCUAGGGCAUAUCCUGUUUCUCCUCCAAGUCUUGCAAUAUUGAACCGUGAUGACAACUUCGAGACACUUGAACAUCGACAACUUUCCCCAAAUUCUUCUUCUAUAAACUUAUAUUCUCCCUUAACCUUCAAUGAUUCAGACACAGAUAGAGAUGAAAUUGGUGGGUCAAGUUCAAAUGGUCGUAACCAAGACGAUUCUCUGAUCAAACAUGGUGAAUACUGGGCUCAACAUGAUGAACUACAUGGUGCUUGUUUUAAUGCCUCAGAAGUGACCACUGGAAAAACUAAUGAUAAUACAAAUGAUGGCAUAGUUGAGAUUUCCGAUGAUGGAAGGUUGGAUAAGAUGGAAUUUUUAUCUAACAUCUGGGAACAUGUUGAAUCUGAUGACUUUAUGGAACGUGUGUGUCAAGGUUUAGAUUCUCGACCCUCUUCCCUUGGUGGAAAUCAGGCGAUGUUAAUUCAGCUCCCAUCUCAUAUUCUACCAUUAAACCAUGAUCCCUUGAUCUUACCAGCUGGGAGAGUCGGUGAUCAUGUUGAUAAUGAUCACCAUGCAGUUCGACCAUUAAACCAUGAUCCCUUGAUCUCAUCAGCUAGGAGAGUUGGUGAUCAUGUUGAUAGCGAUCACCAUGGACUUUGUGUACCAGAAAAUAUGGAGGAUUCUCAGAAAGUGUAAUGUUUUCACCAGCUCAGAAUCCCUUAUGAACAAUUUGCUGACAGGGUUGACCAACUACCCAAAUCCCAAGAUAGCUCAAAAGGGGAGAGGCAAGUUUCACAUUACUUUCUUAGCUGUGGGAUUUAUUGAAUUCAGGAAUAGAGAAACAUUCCCAGAUGAGACUGAAGCCUGUAAACACUGCAACUGUAGAAGAUCCAGAUGUUUGAAACUGUAAGUUCACAUGCGAGACAGAACAUUUCACUUGAGUAAUAUGUUACUCGGACUUGGUUUAAGCAUAUACUCGAGAUCGGUAUGUUUCAUUUUCUUUUAAGUUUUCUUCAUGUAUUUAGAAGAUGUUUGGAACAUCAUACCCUGAAUGUUCAGAGGGUGCUCAAAAAUAGUGAAGAUGUUUAGAACAUCUGUUGAGUUUUGUUGUUUGUUGUGAUUGGCAGUUAUUGUGAGUGCUUUGCAGCAGGGAUUUGCUGCAAGGAUUAUUGUGCAUGUGAUAACUGUUUGAACAAGCCAGAUUAUGAGGAUAUUGUUCUUGAUAUUCGACUUCAAAUUGAAUUGCUUAACCCUCUCGCAUUUGCUCCACCUAUUGUUAACCCACCUAAUGAUUCCCCUAAUGUUACUGUAAUUAUAAAUUCUAUAAUCCUACACUUUUUACCCUUUAAAUUUGUGUAAUUUCAUAAGUGUUUGACAAGAUGAACACACCAUCAGCCAAGCACAAAAGUGGAUGCAAAUGCAAGAGGUCAAAAUGCCUAAAAUAGUAUUGCGAGUGCUAUUGGGUAUGUUUUAACUUUUUAGCUCCAUGUUACUUAUGUUGCUCCCAAUUUCCUUUUUUAUUUUUAAGAACUUGUAUUCAAGAUCCAUGUGUAAUAUACACCUGGACAUAGAUAUGUUAUACGACUCUCCAAGUAUAUAAAAAAAACUCUUUAAAUUAUUGAACAAAUCAGUGUUAGAUUGCAAAUCCUUUUCAAGUUUGAAAGAUCAACAUAAGCUUUUGAUUGUUUGUUGAGUAAAUUCAUUUAUGGUUUUUGUUGGGUAUUUUUUUUAUUGUUGCUUUUGAUUGUUUGUAGGACUGGUAGGAGGCGGAAAAAUCCGGUUUUCUAUUGCCAUAGACUCGGUAAUCCUCUCUAUCCUGUUUGCUAAUGUUUGAUUGAAUGAAACUUGAACUUUUUUUUAACUAGUAAAAUUUCAAUGUACAGAAAAAUAAAAAAAAAGUAGUGAAGUAUAAACAAAAUCCAAGUAAGCAUACUUGCAUUGUAUGAUUAGUAUUUCUUUCAAAUAUUGUUGGAUAUCUAGCUGGGAGUUGUCUCUAGCUUGGAAUGGAGUACAAUCAAGAAGUUUGGAGCUUAAUAUGUUUUUGUUUAAUAUGCUAUUCUAAUAUCCGCAAGAACAUGAAAUUUUGUCUAGAAAUUUUGUUAAACAUGUCUUCUUAUUUCUUAAGAAGGUGCAAGGAAGUUUCCUCUAAUAACAACAAAGUACCAGAAAAUAUUAUGACUGAUAGGUAGAACUUGUAUGGUCAAGGGCACAAGGCGCAUUCUAGGUGCUAAAAUUCUUUUAUUUCCUGAGGUGCAGGGGCAAAAAAUUAAAAAAAAGAGCUUGCCUAAGUGCAGUAAGGCAAAAGAUAUAUGUGUCUAUCCAUUUAUAUACCAAGGUUAAUAAAUAUAGUUAUGAUAAUAAACUCUAAAUUGUGAUCCAGCUUAUCUACAAAACGUGCAAAUUUUUUUUUUCAUUAAUAGACCAAGCUGCACGAUUUCCUUAUGAUCCCAUAUUGUUCUUGCCUGUUGUUGGAUAUUCGAAUAUUAUGCACAUUAAUUCAAAAAAAAAAAAAGAAACCUAAUUGAACUUGAAGGAGUUGGGUUUUUGUUUUGCACCUAUCGCCUUACAUUAAAGUGUAUCUAGAUGCACCAGGGGUGCAUGUGUGAUCAGAUGUACUUUUCCCUAAAGGGUCUAGGGUGCUUUUAUAAUUUGGCUCUAAGGUGCAAUUGCUAGGCAUACACCUUGACAUUGAAGGUUGCAAUGUCUUGGUUGAUGCUCAUUACUAUGUUCUAAAUUGUAUUGAAUUUUGAGUUGCCACUUAUGGAGAUAGGAUGGCCCAGAGCUUAAAAAAUAGUAAAGCCUAUGUUCAUUUAUUUCUGCAUGCUUGUUAUUAAGUUGAUCUUGCAUGGUUCUUUUAUUAUAGUACAAAAAUGUCUAAUCACUGAAUGCAAUUUGGAUUGAACUAGACUUGAAAGUUGUUAAUAGGAAGAUUGAUUAACUUUUCUACUUGAGAAGAUUCUCCUUAGCUCAAUUGCUACCUUUACGGGACUUUAAGUCUUUAAUAAUGAUAAAUUUAAAUUUAAAUAUGGAAAUUCUUGUUAGAAAAGGGUUAAGAAAUUAACCGCCCUCCUCUACACUGGGUUAAAUAGAAGAGAUUUUUGUAACUUUAGAAACCUACUAUUAUGAAAUUAGUUUUCAGUCCAGUUUACGCUGAACGCAUGCUAUUAGAAUUUCCACCUCCAAUUUUCUACCUUAAAUGGUAUUCUUCUUUUUCUGAUUGUAUUGCAUUCUUCUAUUUCUACCAGGUAGAUGAAAUGUUGUAUAGAUUGUAAGAGACUCAUUUCAGGUAUCAAUCUCUGUUUUAGUUUCAGAUCCAUGCUUCUUUACUUGUAUUUCAGUGGGUUUUUCUUAGGGUUUUUGGUUUUCUGCUUUAGAUAUCGCUGUUCGUUCUUGUUCUUCUUUUUUGUUUGUUUAUCGUCUAUUAUAUGUUGUUCUUUAUUUUUGGAUUGUUUAUUUCCCUCUGUUUAAUAUUAUAGCUUUUGUGUUAUUGUCUAUUUCUUUUAAAUCUUUGCUUAGCAGAAUACUAAUUGCCUAAACAAAAAGCAUCCGUAUGUACAUUGUUUACUGCAUCUGUAGAGUUUAUUUGGUGGUUUUUUCUGGAUGGUAAUAACAUGUCUUUUUAAUUCGUAGUGAGUUGUGACAUUCUGUUUCUUAGUUUUCUAAAAAAAUCGUACUUUAGUUUUUAAAAAAAUAAUAAUCUAAUUAGGGUGCUUGUUAAUAUUGAUAGUAAUUGAAGAAUUGGAGAAUUUCAACCGAUUUGCUAAUUGCAAAGGUUUUUGUCGAUUUGGGUUCCGUGAUCAUAUACGGUGGAGAUUGUCAUGAUUCUUGUAUGCAUAUAUGUUUUCUUUUUCAUACUGCUAGGUGGUUGCAUUCAUCGGUAAGGAUUGGGUAUAUUUUCUUUAAAAUAGUUGGGGAUUGUUCGUGUUCUGCUGGGUAUAUAUUUAUUAUCUAUAAGCAUUAUUGAAUAAAUUUUAGAAGAUUUUUUUUUUUAUAAAUUUGAAAGAAAAUUUAUUGUAAUUAUUAUAAAAUUGGUUUCUUUAAUAAGCCCUGAAUUUAUUUUCAUUCUCAUUCUGAUUCAAGGAUAUCCCUCUCAUAUCCCGUCGCAGGAUAAGCUGUUCCAAGAUUAUCCCCAUGAUAUCCCGUCCCGGUUCAGCAGUUUUGGUGGCCGGUUCAGCAGUUUUGGUGGCCGGUUCAAUUUUUAACGUGUUUGGACCGGGUUACCUGACGUAGUUAUUCCAGUCAGGGAUAUCCUAUUCUAGGGAUAUCCCGCCUUGGGAUAUCCCAUUAUAGGGAUAUCCCGGCUUGGGGUCUAGGGGUUUGAAGCUUGGGGCUUGGGUUUAGGGUUGGGCUGGUGUUUUUGGGCUUUUGUUUAAGUGUUUUGGGCUUUGGAUCUCUUAGGUUUUGGAUUACUGGGUUUUGGACUACAUCGGAUAGUGAUUUCAGGGACCAAAAUAUAUACCCAAAAUUUAUUAGCCUUGUCAAUUAUUAAAAAAGAAUUGAGGAUGAGGGUUCUUUUUAAUUGAAAUGGGCUUUUUUAUAAUAAAUCCAACAAGCCAACUCUAGGCCAUUGAUGACUUUAAUCCAACAAACCAAAUGGACCGUCUGAAUGAGGGGAAGAAAAUAAGGAAGCCAGCCACUAAGAAAUGAAGCUUCUCUCUCCUUUGGAUUUAUGAAUAACCUCGAUUCCGGCAAUAAAACUCCACCGUUUCUUUCUAUCUUCGUUUGUUGGGUUUUGGCUCAGAUUGACUCCCGGUAAGAAUUUUUGCCUUUGUUUCACAGUUCGACUCCUUAUUUCUCUUCUCCUAAAGAUUCUUCUCAUUUGAAUCUUUGCCAUUAUCGUUUUUACACAACUUUUGGUUUGGAAUUACGGGUCGAUCAUUGGAAUCUUUGCCAUUGUCUGUUUUGGAUUGUGCUGUGUUAAAUUGUGUGGGUUUGGGGUGUUGUUGGUUCAGGUUUGUAGUCUUUGGUCUGACCAAAGUAAAGUCUUUUCUUUCCUUUCCCUUUUAUCUCACUUAAGAUAAUGCUUUAAACUUUUUCGCCUGCCUUUCUUUCUAAUGUGACAGUCCAGAUAGCCUAAUAGUCUCGUGUAUAAAAAACUGCUUUCUAGUCUGAUGUGCUGCAAAAGAAAAAUCUCUGAUUGGCUGGAUUAUAAGUACUGUGAAACCAGUAUCCCAAUUGUUAAGUCAACCAUCAGUAAAUCGGCGCAUAUGAAUGACUUUAAUUAAAUAAUUCCCUGUGAAACUCUACAAUAAUUAGUUUAAUCGAUCUGUCCUUGGGAUAUGUAGUACUCUUCCUGUCCAUAUAUAACUGUUUUUAGUUGGUAUCUUUCUUGCCCUGUUUUUAGUUAGAGUGUUUGUGUUUGUGAGAUAGAAACUAACAAAUUGAGCCCACUUUCCUUUUUAAGCCAUUGGUUAAUGACUUCGGUUUAUAUCGUAUUAGUUUGCAUGAAUUUGAUUCUUUGAAUAACCUUCGUGUGGUGUCUUGGGUUUAAUUCUAAAUUUUCCGAAUUAUUAAUGGUUGAUGUGGAAAUUUGAUUAGGACAAUGUGAAAAAGUUAUGCUCUAAUUUUCUGAACUGUCAAGAUAUAGGUAUGUUAGGGGAAGCCUACUCUCUGUUUACUGGUAAGUUUAAUCUUGAGUGUUAUAUGAGGUUGAUAUCUUUAAUCUACAGUUUAUAUAUAUUUAAGGUCAGGGAAUAGCUGUUUCCAAUUACUUGAACACUUGGCUGUUUUGAUUUAAUCUACAGUUAAUAUAUAUUUAAGGCCACUUUCCUGAUACAAGUGUUGUUUGAUUUUCUUUUUUAAAGGAAAAAUACAGUUUGUAUGGCGUUAUUGUGUGUUUUCAAAUAGAAUAGAAAGUAAGAGACUUUGGGAUCAAUUAACAUCAAUUUUAACUAGAAGAACAUGGUCAUAUUUGGAGUGAAAAUUCUUGCAUUUUAUCUGGUGCUAAGGUGGUGCAUUUUUGUCUUUGGUUUUCUUUUCACACUGGUAGGUGCUUUCACUCAUCCGUAAGGAUCGGGGUGGGUUUUCUUUAAAAUAGUUGAGUGGAGGUCAUCGAUGAACUUAGUUGGAACUGUUUGUGUGCUGGUGCUUAUAUGAUUUGGAAUUAGAUUUUGAUUGAAAUAUUCGGGUAAUAUCUAAAUGCAUGGCCUGGAUGGAAUUGGGGUUGCAAUUUAACUGAAAAUGUUGUUUUAUAUUACAAAGUAGUUACAAGUGUUUAUUGUGUUGCAUUAGAAGAUGUUACUAGGUGUUGUUUUCUUUCUUAUGAAGAACGCAGUAUAUUUGCAUUUUUUGAUCUUACAAUGAGAGUUUUCUUUCAAAGUUUCAUAUUUGAAUCGUAAUACUAAUUUAUUUUUCAAAAAAUCCAAAUUACUCAUCUUUCGCUUUGGUAUUGUUAAUUAUGUAGAGAACGAAGGUUUCUCUUUUGUGGACGUCGGCCAUUCAUAUCAACCCAAGGUAUCUCUCUACAAUCUCAUGGUUUUGUUUGCAGUAACAUUGAUGCGUUUGUUUUAUUUGAUUGUUGUUUUCUAAAUUGUCAAAAUUAAAGUAAAUUUUCUUUGGAUCGAAUUUAAUUUUCAUUGGGCCUGUGUGCCCAUUGGUUUUUUGCGACUUGUGAUAGUUGUCCUGUUUUUUUGGGCUGUUAUAAUGGUCAUGGUUUUCGGGUUUCUGUUUAGUUCCCGUGGCUUGUGAUACUGAGCAUGUUUUCAUAGUUUAUUCUCUCCUCAUUUUCCUUUUUUUCUAACAUUUCUUUCCCUUUUUUUCUCUCCUUUAUUAUGUCUGUCUCAUUUCAAAUUUUACCUCUUAUAUUUUUUAGGCCCGAAAGAAUUCAAAGACACUAUAUUGUGAUUCUCUCCACCGUUUCUGUUUUUGGGAUUUUUGGACUCCCUUGCUUAAUCAGGUAUGAAUCUUUUCUCCAACAUUGUCGUUUCCGUUCUCCCUUUUAGGAACUAUGCUUUUGUACUUGUAUUUUUUGGUUUAUUUUAUGGCUUUUGGUUUUCAGUUUUAGAAAUCAACAAUAAAAAAAAGUUUGUCAAUUACUUAGUGGGAAGCAAAAAAUCUGAAAUUGUAUUGGGAAUUUUCUCUUUUCAUUUUUUUCAUUAAUAUUACAAUAAAUUAAACUAACCAGUUGGCAAUAAAUGACCAGCUUAUUCCCAUAUUCUGUCCUAUUUUUCCUUUAUUUCUAACGUUCCUUUCUCCUUUUUUAGCUACUCUUUUUCCAUUCUUUACAAAUAUUUUCCUUCUCUCUUGUUUUUUCUUCUCUCAGCCUUUUUUCCUGUGUUUUCUUCAAUCUAUUGCUCUCCCAUUUAUUCCCCGUCUCUCUCUCUCUCUCUCUCUCAAUAUCCUUUCAAUUUUUUCCUCAAAUUUUUUAGCUUCAGGUAACCAAAUUUCAGUUUUUUUUUUUGCUGUUUCUAUUUUUUUUUUCUGUUUCUAUUUUUUGUAAUUUUUGAAACUCCCUACAUCAUUGGAAAUUGAUUUCAGGUAUGAAUAUAAUUAAACUGUCUCUUUCCUCAUUACCUCUGAUUUUAGUUUCAGAUAUAUGCUUAUAUUUACUAAUAUUUUCAAUUUGUUUUUUUCAGGGAUUUCGGUAUUUUAACAGUAAUAGUUUUUUAACAAUGUUAGUAAGUUUAGGUUUUAUUAUCUAUUAAAAAUAUAUAAAACUAAUUGACCCAACGUUAGUUCUAUUGUUUUCCUGUUAUAAUCUGCUUUCUGCUAAUAGAACGUAGUUCUAUUGUUUUAUGCCAUUAAGGUCUGGAUUUUAUGCCAUUUACAGAUCAUGAAAACUGAAAAGUAAUGAAGUUUAUGCUGUUGUUAUAUAGCACAUAAUGCCCUUUUUUUCUAAGGUUAAAGUUGUAAAAUUCAUUUGGUGGAUAGUGUGUGUUAUUUUAUUGUUAUCAUUACUAGAAUUCUAGUGUAAGUUGGAUCAGUAUGUGCUGUUGACACAUACAUGAAAUACCUGUCAUGGUUGUAUGUUUUUUGCAAAAAAUACUGGUAUAAUUUUUACUCUGAUUAGCUGUAGUUAUUUUUGUGUUAUAUGUACAGUCUUUGGAUCUGCAACCCAUGCUUGGGAUUUAUGUUUUUGUUGUUUGCAUAGGUAUAUUGAAGCCAGUAAAGCUCGCAUUUACCACUCUGGAGAUGANNNNNNNNNNNNNNNNNNNNNNNNNNNNNNNNNNNNNNNNNNNNNNNNNNNNNNNNNNNNNNNNNNNNNNNNNNNNNNNNNNNNNNNNNNNNNNNNNNNNUCUACCUUUUCGAGAAUAUACUGAAAUUAUUACAUCCAUUCAAGCCAUUCGUAACUGAGGAACUGUGGCAGGUGUGGGCUUUGUAGUGUUUACCACGGCUUUUGUUAAUAUAAUUUUUAUAAUUUAAACUCAUUUAGUUUACCAUAUUCUUGAAUCUGGUCAUUCAUGCUAAUAUUAAGUCUGGAUAAAAUUCGCUGGAACACAAUUUCCAUUGAUACUUUGGACAUGCACAUAUACUUAAGUGAAUUUUGGGUUCACAUUACAGCAUACAUGAAUAGUGCUUCAUACAAGAAAUGAUAUUUUUUUCUUUUUUUUUAUUGUUUUAGGCAUCCCCUAAGGUUUUCUGCAGAUGUAACUGUGGAUUUUUCUUUUAUUUUAUUUAUCUUCAGGACUUCCCAAUCGGAGAGAAGCUCUUAUAAUAUCUUCGUGGCCACAAACUUCUCUUCCCAAGAGUACUGAUUUGGUAAAAAGAUUUGAAAAUUUACAAGCUUCGGUGAGUUUGUAGAACUCUUCUUUUUUCCUCUACAUUCGCCACCAAAUACUCUUCAACCCAAGGUGAGUCAUAAUUCCGCAAUAAUUUUUCAAUCAAUAAUACAAUCUAAAAUCGAAAUUGAAACCUCAAACCAAAACCGAAACUCAAAUAAAAACCCAAAUUGAAACCUAAUCCCAUACUUAAAGUACAACACUUAAUAAACCCAUUUAUUAGCCGUUUCUCUCUCUGUCUCUCUCUCUCUCUCUCGGUCUCCCUGUUUUUUUUUGUUUUUCUUCCUUAUUUAUUAGCCUUUUCUGCUUUCAUAAUAAAUCCUCAAAUAUUUUCUUCAAUCCAAAUCUCCUCCCAUUUCUUUACCGAUUCUCUCUCUCGGUCUCUUUUGAAUUUUUUUCCUCUCAUUUUUUAGCUUUGGGUAACCAAGGGCCAAAACACACACGCUACACUGUUUUUUGUGGUUCUUGAAAUCCCCUCCUUCAUCGGAGACUGAUUUUGAGGUAUGAAUCUUGAACUUUGUCUUUGUCUGUCUUUGCCUUUUCAUUUCUAUUUUGGUUUCAGAUCAAUUUUUUUUUUUACUUAUAUUUCAGUGGGUUUAUUUCUCUGCCGUUUCUUUGUUGCUAUUUUUGUAACCCCUGCUUCAUCGGAGGCUGAUUUCAGGUAUGAAUCCUUGCUUCAACAUUGUCUUCGGCUUUCUCUGUUUUAAUUUAAGAUUUAUGCUUUUUUACUUGUGUUUUUUUUUGUUUUUACUAUGUGUUUGAAAUUUAUUGAUGUGGUCAGUGAGUUACUUUGUGGUUGUUUUAUGCUAUAUCAGUUGGUUAUUUAUUAGGAUUUUCUAAAUAGGUGACCUAAAUUAAAAAAAAGUAGGUGAUUAAAAAAAAUGACAGAUACAUGAACAAAUAUUAUUAGGAUUUAAUUAUUGUUUUUUCAAUAAAAUUUACAAUCACCGAAAUGUUCUUUAUAUUAACUCCUUUAUAUUAAAUGAUAAACCAGGUCGGAUCCAAUUUAAUAUUUAUAAGAAUAUUUUUAGAAAUACUUUAAUUAAUUGUUUUGCAGAAAUUUAAAUAAUGCAUAUAUAAUCAUUUCAAUAGUUUUGCAUUCUUUAUAGAAAUGCGAAGUACCCACUAAACGAUCAAAACUGGCAUAUAGGAUUCCAGACUGGGACAUUCUGUUUCUUAGUUUUCUCAAAAAAUCUGUACUUUAGUUUUAAAAAAUAAUAAUAAUCUAAUUGGGAUGCUUGUUAAUAUAGAUAGUAAUUGAAGAAUUGGAGAAUUUCAACUGAUUUGCUAAUUGCAAAGGUUUUUUUUCGAUUUGGGUUUCAUGAUCAUAUACGGUGGAGAUUGUGAAGAUUUGUGUAUGCAUAUAUGUUUUCUUUUUCAUACUGCUAGGUGCUUGCAUUCAUUAGUAAGGAUUGGGUAUAUUUCCUUUAAAAUAGUUGGGAUUGUUCGUGUUCUGUUGGGUAUGAUUUGCAAAUGGAUUUUGAUUGGAAGUUUUAGGUAAACCCAUGGUAUCUCUGUAUAUCAGCUGAAUGGGAAGUUUUGUUUGAUUAUUGAUAUAUCCAUGUGGGGAGAUACUCGGAUUUUGGUUAAAGAUAGAAUUAUAUUCAUCUGUGUUACCUAGCCUUAUAUGAAGGGAAAUUGAGUUGUAAUCUUUUAAGUGAAUAGGUUCUAGUUGCAACCCUUAGAUUAACAUAAUUUUGAUUUGCUUAUUGGUUGAUGGUUAUUAUGAGACUGAAAAAAAGAUGCAUUGGAUAUAUUCUCUAAUGAUGUCAUAACCAAUUUCUUCUUCAUUUAUUGUCUUAGUUGAUUUCUCAAUGCAUUCUGGUUCGGAACAAUUGUUCUUUUCCUUUUGAUUUUUUUGUUUAGUGUUUUUAGGGUUUAUAUUUAUAGAGUGAAUGAUGAAAUAAAGAAGAGCCGAUUGUUUGUUUUGAGUUCUCACUUAACCCGUUUGCCUCUGGCAUCUUCCCUCAUGGCUUCGGAGAAAGAAGCUGCCCUUGCUGCUGCUCCCUCUGAUUCUCCUACCAUGUCAGCCCAGCCCUAUGUUUCUCCUUCUCCUUCUAUUCAUCAAUUUCUUCUUUUAGAAAAAAAAAAAAAGAAAUCUUUUUUUUAGAAUAAUUCUCGACAGUAAAUGUUCCUUCCCUUUUCACUUUGAUGUGAAUUACCGGGAUCAUUCCUUCUCAUUUACUUGUUUUUUUUUUUUUCAGAUUUGACAAAAUCAUCAACAAGGAAAUCCCAGCUACCGUGGUGUAUGAAGAUGAUAAGGUGCUGAUCUUUUUUCUUUUUACUUCUGAUUUUAAAUUCUGUGGAUUCUGUCACUGCUUAUUUUGUACGCUGGAAAGAUCUUUUAGAAAUCAGGCCUUUUUUUUCCUUCUUGAACUAUGGCUUGAUUCUUGCAACAGGUGAUGCUUAUUUUAUAUAUAUUUUUUCUAUUUGUUUCUUAAAACAAAUUUCCCUCAACCAAAUUCUGGUCGUGACCUGGAACUUGGUCUGGCUUUUAACAAUUCAAAAGGCACUACUUUUGACCUUUUCCAUUUUUAUCUUAAAAUGGAUAGAAAUGCAAACACCUCCUGCCCUUAUAAGUUGGAGAAGAUACGUCGUCCUUGUGCAUUUUGACAAGUAGCCCGCUAUUGGCCUAAAGUAAUGCUUGGAGACUUGUGGGGUGGCACAUUCUAAGUUAGAAUGAGAGAGUAGAGGUUCUUUUGUUUGUCUUAAGAGCUGUCUAUAUAAAGGGCUGUGUUUUUUAUUUUUGUUUAAUUUAUUUUCACUAGUGGUCUUGCUAAGGGUAAUAGAUGAGAAUUUGUUGGAAUUUUGAGGGAUGCUGAUUGUAUUUAAGAGGAUGGAUGCUAAGGAAUGAACGUGGAAGUGGCCAUAUGCCUUGAAAUUAUUGGGUUCAUUAAUUGGAUCAGUCAGCUGGUCAAAUUUUUUCAGGGAAAUGAGAUAGCAAAUGUAUUAGGUAAGGUUGGCAUUUGAAGGGAAGUAUUUUCUUUGCUUGAUGGUGAUAUUUGUUCUGUUUUAUUGAGUUCUCUGUGCGAUCAUUGGUAUUUCCAUGUCCUGGCGCUGUCUGUUCUUACUUGGUGUUCGAGUUUUGGUUGACUUGUGCUACUGAUGUUUUAAUUCUACAUAUUGGUUCUGAAAUGUCUUUGUCCUUUGUUUGCUUUUGUGAGUGUUGUCAGUUAUUAGUGAAAGUUGUCUUAACAAAAAAGGAAGAUAGCAGGAUUUUUCAUGUUCAAGUAAGAGUUAGAAAGAAUGCAAUUGGCUUCAUAAUUGUUAAUGGAAAGAGGUUAGCACUUCCAAGAGAAGUUAAGUGGACCACGUUUAAAAUUUUAGAUAAUUUUGAUGAUGAAAACUGGUGAAGGCCACUCAUUGAUAGAUUAGAGUUUAAGUAGCUUUCAGGAAUGCUAGCUGAAACUUUGGAACAUCAAUUCCAAAAUGAACAAAUGAAAAUGUUGUUGGCAUUAGCAAAAUCCUUAUUAUUUUAUUUCUUUCGUAACAAAGAAAUAUCAAUACUCACUGUUGCACUGAAAAAAAUUUUAUUUAGCUUUGAAUUUUGCUUCCAUUGGCCGAAAGCUUUAAAGCUAUCACUUCUGGUAAAGAUUUUACAAUAAUCCUUAUUAUUUUUUUAGCCAAACUUAUGUAGCAACUGCUUGUGGGCCCUACUUCAUUGGUGACUGAUUUCAGGUAUGAAUCAUCACUUCUACUUUGUCUGUCUUUUCAUUUUGUUUUAGUUUCAGAUCUAUUCUUUAUUACUUAUAUUUCAGUGGGUUUUAUGAUUUUUUGUUUUCUUCUUUAUGAAUCCUUUUUCUUUGCCUGCUCAUCUCUAUUUUUUUGUUGAAGAUAUAUUUAUUCAUCACUCGAAGCAAAGCAAAAGGGAAAGUAGGAGGUUUUUGAGGAGAGUGAAAAAUGGUUGGUUCUACUUCAUCGGAGAUUGAUAUCAGGUAUGAAUAUAUACUUAAACUUUGUAUCUCUGUUUUUAGUUUUAGAUAUAUGCUUCUUUUUACUAAUAUUCUCAUUGGGUAUUUGUCAGGUUUUUGGUUUUCAGAUUCAAAGAAUCACUGUUUCGUUCAGUUGAAAUUAUGGAUCUGUGCGGUAUUUUUUGUUUGUUUAUCAUGUUUUUGUUUUUGAAUUUUCUGUUUUUCAGCAGAAGAUUGUUGGGGCUGGGGUUGUUGGGCUUAGCUUGAAUUCAGUACAGAUUUUUUUAAGUGUGCUGUUGCAUUUGAUUUUCGUUCUUAUUCCUAUUCCGCUGCAGUAUAAGCUAUUCUGUGGAUAUCCCCUUUAUAUUCCGUCCCGCGUCAGGAUUUUUGCAGUCCGGUUCAGUUGUUUUAGUGUACGGUUCAGUUUUUUUUAUGUUUGGACCGGACGACUUGUCGAUCUUAUUCUAAGGAGGGAUAUCCUAUUCUUGGGUUAUGCCGGUCUGGGAUAUCCCAUUCCAAGGGUAUCCGGUUCGGGGAUAUCCCAUUCCCAGUAUAUCCCGCGGAUGGUUAAGUUUUUUUUUUUAAAAGAAAAGUAAUAGGCUGUUAUUAAAAUGCAAAACUACAUUAAACCAACCGGACUAAAAUAAAGACCCAAAAACGAUACAGGCCCAAAGUAAAAAAAAGGUCUGGAAAAACUGAAACAAAAAAGAGACGAAAAGAAUCAAAAUAAAAAAGAUAUGUAUCCAAAAAGUGACAGACACAUGAAAAAAUAAUGAAUGAAGAGAGAAAAUGACACUUUCUUUUAUUGGUUUUUUUCAUAAAGAUUACAAAUGAAAACAUUUUCAGGUACACUUUCUUUUAUUGGUUUUUUCAUAAAGAUUACAAAUGAAAACAUUUUAAUAAAUUAUAAAUAUUUUGAAUUUUAAAAUAAUUGUAAUUUAUUUAAAAAGAAAAUUUAACACUGAUUUAAAAUUUAAAAUAGAUACAUUAAAUAACUUCCAACGUCUCUCUAAAUUCUUGAUGAGAGACGCUUCUUUCUCCUCUAAAUUGUGUCUCCUCUGUCUCCUUUUAUUCUGACUUUUACCUUUUUUAUUAUUAUUUUUUUAUUUUCUCGUCCUCCCUUUCUUUACUACGCAGAUUCUAUUGGGGUCUCUUUCCAUUUUUUUUGUCCUGACCUUUCUUUUUUAACUUUUGUGUAAACGCAUGCCGAAAUCCCCUUCUUCAUCGGAUUGUGAUUUUAGGUAUGAUUUUCACUUCUAGUAACUUUCCUUUUUCAUGUCUUUUUAAGUUUCAGACCUAUGCGUAUCUUUUAUUUCUGCGGGUAUUGUGGUUUUUAUCUCUGUUUUAGUUUUCAGAUUUAUACUUUUUUUUUUAGUGUUUUUGUUAUAAGUUUCGGUGUUCAGCCUUAUGAAACACAUGUUAUAUUUGUCUUUUUAAAUCUUUCGAUGUCGUCAUUUUUUUGAUAAUUUAUUGUCUGUUAUGUGUUUUAUUUUUUUUUUCCGAUUGUUUGUUUCUCUUUGUAUUGAAGGACAUUUUCUUGCAAAUCUUUGAAUAACCGAAUCCUAUUUAUGAGAUUUUAUAGCGAAGAUAUGUUUCUAAUACGUAUCUACCAUAAAACCCGAAAUGAUUAACAAAAAAUAAAUGGAAUCAUUUUCAUGUUACUUUUUCUUUUUUUGUCUCCUUAUUUUCUGUUUUUGAACAAGUAAAAACAUUAUAUUUCAAUAGUUUUCCUUUCUUUAUAGAAAUUUGAACUACCAAUCAAGAAGUUUGGAGCUUAAUAUGAUUUUGUUUAAUAUGCUAUUCUAAUAUGCGCAAGAACACGAAAUUUUGUCUAGAAAUUUUGUUAAACAUGUCUAUUUAUUUCUUAAGAAGGUGCAAGGAAGUUUCCUCCAAUAACAACAAAUUAGUACCAGAAAAUAUUAUGACUGAUAGGUAGAAUUUGUAUGGUCAAGGGCAGAAGGUGCAUUCUAGGAGCUAAAAUUCUUUUAUUUCCUGAGGUGGGAGGGGCAAAAAAUUUAAAAAAACAGCUUGCCUAAGUGCAGUAAGCCAUAAGAUAUCUGUGUCUAUCUAUUUAUAUACCAAGGUUAAUAUAUAUAGAUAUGAUAAUAAACUCUAUAUUGUGAUCCAGCUUAUCUAUAAAACGUUCAAAAUUUUUUAUUAUUAAUAGACUAAUCUGCAUGAUUUCGUUAUGAUCCCAUGUCUUUCUUGCCUGUUGUUGGAUAUUCAAAUAUUAUGCACAUUAAUUAAAAGGAAAAAGAAAAUAAAACUUGAAGUAGUUGGGUUUUUGUUUUGCACUUAUCGCCUUACAGAAAAGUGUAUCUAGAUGCACCACGUGUGCAUGUGUGAUCAAAUGUACCUUUCCCUAAAGGCUCUAGGGUGCUUUUAUCAUUUGGCGCCGAGGUUCAAUUGCUAGGCAUAAACCUUGACAUUGAAGUUUGCAAUAUCUUGGGUGAUGCUCAAUACAAUGUUCCAAAUUGUAUUGAAUUUGAAGUUGCCACUAUGUUCAUUUAUUUCUGCAUGCUUGUUAUUAAGUUGAUCUUGCAUGGUUUUUUUAUUAUAGUACAAAAUGUUUAAUCACUGAAUGCAAUUUGGAUUGAAGUAGACUUGAAAGUUGUUAAUAGCAAGAUUGAUUAACUUUUCUACAUGAGAAGAUUCCCCUUAGCUCGAUUGCUAGCAUUACGGGACUUUAAGUCUUUAAUAAUGAUAAAUUUAAAUUUAAAUAUGAAAAUUCUUGUUAGAAAAGGGUCAACGUUUUCGGUUUUCAGAUUAAAAGAAUCAGGCCACGUUUGGUUGGUUCCCUCUUUAUUCUUGGAUGAAUAUCAAUGCUUUUGUUUGGUUUACCAUUUCUUCAUUUGGCCGAAUUAGUUAAAGCGGUUCUAUUCCCUCAAAUGCGUAAUAGGGAUUCAGUGCUGAAAGCUUUGAAUGGCCAUUAUGACCAUGGCCGAAUAGAAAUGAAGAAAAUUCUUCCCAAAAUCUCCUUCACACUUUCUCUGCAAAUGCGUUCAGAGUUGCUUCUUUUAUCACAGCAAUACACUUUCAGGUUAGCAGGUUUUUCUUUUCAAGUUUAAUUUCGUUUGGUUUCUGUUCUUGCAAUAAUUAAAUUUUGUUUUAGAAGGGUUUUUGGUGUGGGUUUUCUUUAAAUUUUUCUAAAAAUAUAAGCUACAACUCAACUCCCAAUUCUCUGUCUCUUGGGGGAGAUAAUGUUUCGUUCUCUUAUGGGAAACCUAUGGACUAGAAUUGAAUUGCUUGGAGUAAAUCGUAAUCACCAUAUUGAUCUCUUCCUCUUAAUCCUUGUUUUAUUAUUUCGAUUUUGCUGCUGGAGAGGACAAAAAUAAACUAAUUAAUGGAGGAGAUAAGUCAAAAUUUGAUGAAUUUAUAUUGUUUGUAAUACUCACGCAUAUCUCUUUUGCAAUAUUUGUCAUUCUUUAAAUCAGAGUUUUAUUCCCAAAUUUCUUACUGAUAAUCACUUAGUCUUCAUUAUUGUAUUUUACGGUAAUUCAGAUUUGUUUCAGGUUUGGAGAUAUGGUGCAACAGAUGAAAAUUUGUUAAGAAAUAUACCUUAUAGUGCUUUGGAGCAGACAAGUUGAUGUCCAGACACUAGAGGGUCAAAUGGAAACAGAAGUUAUGGUAGCGGGCAGUAUAGACUGCUCCUUCAGGUAUAAAUGGAGUUGGAAAUAGAUAUAGAUGUAUCUGCAUCCUCUUCCAAGUACAAGAUGUCUCCUAUUCCCUAUUAUUGUAGUAUAAAUUCUACUAGUUUAGGUGGAUCUACAUUUUAUUAACAUGGAGCAUUACUUGUUGGCAUUUCUUUGCGUUUAUCACAUUUAUUGGUGUCAAAAUACAAUAUGCUGAAGUGUGUCAUCUGUUACUCUGUUCGGAGUAAUAACCUCUAAUUUGAAAUGGUUGUGUCAGUUCUUCCAGUGCUCAUGUUUCAGGGUUGGGUGACCUAAACAUGGCAUACUUCUUACAACUUGCUGUCAAGUGCGAUAAAAAUUAGGUCUCCUUUCAUAUUUUGUUGCGACAUUGGAACCUCUACAUGUCUUGCUCAUCUUUUCGUUCUGCCAAUGAUCUGGUAUUCUUUUUGGCGUUACCAUCUAACAUUACAUAUCCCUUCCUAUUGUUGUAUUGGAGCUAUUACUUGUUGUGAUGCAUGGUGCAUUCUCCUCCCACUGCAACAUACAUGCAGAUGCACUUGUUCUUUCUCACUUCCAUUUUUCCGUUCACUGUCUGUUACAUUGUAUUUCAAAGCGUUUGUCUUGUUGAUUUGUUAUUUUCUACUGGUUGGUACUGUGACAUAUGUUUAGCUUCUUUCGAUGGCAUUGCAAAGGAACUUAUACUGUUUCGAUGGCACAUAUAUAUUAUUAAUUAUUGGAUAGGUGGAGUAUUCACUGUGUUUAUUGAUUGUACUAUCAACAGUAUUAAUCNNNNNNNNNNNNNNNNNNNNNNNNNNNNNNNNNNNNNNNNNNNNNNNNNNNNNNNNNNNNNNNNNNNNNNNNNNNNNNNNNNNNNNNNNNNNNNNNNNNNUGACAGCAUCAUGAUGUCCUGUUCCUAAGAAGAUUGGCAUCAUCCUAAUCGGUAAACUUUCCUUUUCAGUUUAACACGGAGGGGCAUCUUCUAAGGCUUCCUCUUCCAGAAUGUUGGGUGGUAAGAAAAAAAUACUGUGCUUGUUUCGCCACCAUCUAUUUAUUUGUAUUGUUGAGCCAAGUUACCUCCAUUCAUACAUACCCUGAUUAUUCUUUUUCUGAAUGCUACAGAGAAGUUAAUUGAGUACUGUUGUUCAUUUUUCAGGUCUCAUAACUGCAUAUGCUUAUUGAUGCUGUCACUGAGAGUUAUAACAAAUAUUUCUUUGGGGACGUUGGGAGAGAAAUAUAUGAUUUCUUUUGGGGUGAUUUUGCUGACCGGUAUGUAGAAUGUUCUUUUAUAAUCUGCUUUCUGCUAAUAGAACGUAGUUCUAUUGUUUUAUGCCAUUAAGGUCUGGAUUUUAUGCCAUUUGAAGAUCAUGAAAACUGAAAAGUAAUGAAGUUUAUGCUGUUAUAUAGCACAUAAUGCCCUUUUCUUCUAAGGUUAAAGUUGUAAAAUUCAUUUGGUGGAUAGUGUGUGUUAUUUUAUUGUUAUCAUUACUAGAAUUCUAUUGUAAGUUGGAUCAGUAUGUGCUGUUGACACAUACAUGAAAUACCUGUCAUGGUUGUAUGUUUUUUGCAAAAAAUAUUGGUAUAAUUUUUACUUUGAUUAGCUGUAGUUAUUUUUAUGUUAUAUGUACAGUCUUUAGAUCUGCAACCCAUGCUUGGGAUUUAUGUUUUUGUUGUUUGCAUAGGUAUAUUGAAGAAAGUAUUAAUUAUUUAUCUUUACUCCCCCCCCCCCAAAAAAAAAAAGUAAUUUAAAGAAGGUAUUAAUUACCAUAAAUGUUACCGUUGUCACAUGGGGCAUUUAGAAAAUCUAUUCUUUUUGGGCAGUAUGAGCAGGAGAAAAGCUGCCCGUUUUCUUUAGGCUUUUCAAAUUCCCUUCCUUCUCCAUCAUUGGAAAUUUAAGUUCUCUUUAAAUUUAUUUUCCCUUUUUAUUUCCCCUUUUAUUCUCUGUUGUUUUUCCAUUCUUUGAUCUCUGUUCAUCCUCUCAUUCGUUUUCUUUAUCGUCUCUCCCUUCCUUCCUUCCCAUUAUUCGAAAUUUGAAUCCUCAAAUCUAUCUCUUCUAUCCAUAGCACCUCAAUUAUUCGCCGACUCCCUCUCUCUCUCUCUGUCUGUUUUGAAUUUCUUCCUCUCAUUUUUUUAGUUUUGUGUCACCGAUUGCCAAAAAAAACACGGAAAUACGCUACACUAGGAUUUCUUUGCCGUUUCUUGUUUUUGUGAUUUUUUUGAAUUUUCUGCUUCAUCGGUGACUGAUUUCAGGUAUGAAUCAUCACUUCUACUUUGUCUAUCUUUGCUAUUUCAUUUUGUUUUAGUUUCAGAUCUAUUCUUUAUUACUUGUAUUUUCAGUGGGUUUUUUUAUGAAUUUUUUGUUUUCUUCUUUCGAAAUCCUUUGUCUUUGCCUGUUCAUCUCUGUUUUUUUGUUUCAGAUAUAAUUAUUUAUCACUCGAAGCAAAGCAAAAGGGAAAGUAGGUGGGUUUUGAGGAUAGUUAAAAAUGGUUGGUCCUGGUUCAUCGGUGAUUGAUUUUAGGUAUGAAUCUGUACUUAAAAUUUGUCUUUUUCUUUCAUCUCUGUUUUUAGUUUCAGAUAUAUGCUUCUUUUUACUAAUAUUCUCAUUGGGUAUUUGUCAGGGUUUUCGGUUUUCAGAUUCAAAGAAUCACUGUUUUGUUCCGUUGAAAUUAUGUAUCUGUGCGGUAUUUUUGUUUUUUUAUCUUGUACUAUAUGUUUAUUGUUUUUGAAUUGUCUAUUUCUCUCUGCUCGUAUUGUAUCUAUCUUGCUUUAUUGUUAUUAUUUUUUUGCGAAGUUCUCUUACGUUUCUAUUUUUUCCGUCUACUUACGAUUGUAGCUAUAGUAAUAUCUUUGAUUUCCUUUUGUUUUUUGCUUCGCAAAAUAUACUGUUUCGGUUUUUCUUUACGGGCUCCUGUGUUGGCGUUUUGUCCUGUGCCCUGCUUAGUUUAUGGCUUGUGUUUUGCCUAGAUUUUGGGCUUUUAUCCCUCUUGUAGGUUCUAUGGAAUGAUUGAAGGCAGUAUGAUCCUAUUUGCAAAUGCACUGUAAGUUGCGUCGAUUGUGAAAGUCUCUAAGUCUCUGUGUUCUCCUUUUUGCAUGCUGUUUUGUGAUCCAUUUUUUUUGCUUGGGCAACGGAUUUGGUUUUGUUUUUAUUUUUAAUUUUUAGUGUGUUGGGUUGGCUUGUAUGGGAAUGGGUUUGCGAUAUUUUUUUAUCUGGGUAAGAUGUCCGAGCCUGAAUCGUAAACAUAAAUCACAGUUCCUUUCAUUUUAUAAAUAGAAUACCGAACUCAUUUGAAUAUCGGAAAUCUUAUUUUCUGGAGUGCAAUGCCUUGACUAUUAAAUUAAUUUGAAUAUAGAGAAUUUCUAAAACUCAAUUUUGAUACCAAACCUGUUAGCUUGGUUAUGUAAGUUCUUCGAUUUCCCUUUUAUUCUCUUUUUUACUUCUCUCUGUUAAUUUCCCCAAAACAUUAGUUGUGAUUUAAAGAAGGUAUUAAUUACCAUUAAUGUUACCGUUGCAUUAUUCGUAAUCUGAACCUGCUUUUAUAUUAUUUGGACAUCAUGCUUUCGAUUUUUCUGUUUAGUUGUGAAGAAUUUUUUUAUCCGGUACAGAUUUUAACCUGAAUAACUUCUUCAGUAGUGCUUUUUUUUGUCUGGAUAAUAGUUAGAUAGAAGUAUACGNNNNNNNNNNNNNNNNNNNNNNNNNNNNNNNNNNNNNNNNNNNNNNNNNNNNNNNNNNNNNNNNNNNNNNNNNNNNNNNNNNNNNNNNNNNNNNNNNNNNNNNNNNNNNNNNNNNNNNNNNNNNNNNNNNNNNNNNNNNNNNNNNNNNNNNNNNNNNNNNNNNNNNNNNNNNNNNNNNNNNNNNNNNNNNNNNNNNNNNNNNNNNNNNNNNNNNNNNNNNNNNNNNNNNNNNNNNNNNNNNNNNNNNNNNNNNNNNNNNNNNNNNNNNNNNNNNNNNNNNNNNNNNNNNNNNNNNNNNNNNNNNNNNNNNNNNNNNNNNNNNNNNNNNNNNNNNNNNNNNNNNNNNNNNNNNNNNNNNNNNNNNNNNNNNNNNNNNNNNNNNNNNNNNNNNNNNNNNNNNNNNNNNNNNNNNNNNNNNNNNNNNNNNNNNNNNNNNNNNNNNNNNNNNNNNNNNNNNNNNNACUUGUAUUUUUGGGUUUAUGGUUUUGAUGUUUAGAAAUUGCUGUUUUGCUAUAUGUUAUUAUUGAUGUGGCCUGUGACUUUGUUAUUUUUUGCUGUUUAUUUUAUUAUCUUAUUUUCUAAAUAAGAGUACCUAAAUUUAAAAAAAAAAAGUCUUAAAAAAAUGACAGAUUCAUCAAUAAAUGAUAUAUGAAAAGAAAACAUUUCUUUUAAUUAUUCUUUUGCAGCAAUUUACAUAUUGCAUAUAUAAUUAUUUCAAUAGUUUUCCGUUCUUAAUAGAAAUGCCAAGUAUUAUUUUGACAUGUGAACACAUUAUAUUUUUUGGGGGANNNNNN